ACUGAGGCAUCCCACCAGACUUGUCACAGGAUAUUGGGAAGUCAUGGUCCCCUUCUUGGGGUUCUUGGUCUCAUCAAUCAAAGAAUUUAAGAGUAGUCAUAAGAAAGCUGGAAGAUGAUUUUAUUAGAACUUAAAAGAAAAGUUUCAAAGCAGACAAACUGUGAUCUAGGCAACUGCUUGGAGGAAGGAUACAGAGGCGAGGAACUCCAUGUUCUUAGAGUUAGGCUAGGAGGUCAGCUGUGUGGACAAGUGUCCACAUGCCAGAGAGGGUCGCUCUUGAUGUCCCAGCUGUAGGGUACACAUGCAUAUUAGUACAGAUUAGGACAAUUUCCAUUCCUGUACAGGUGAAAGGAAAUGUUGCACUUUUUUGAGUAAUUUAGAGAAUUGGGCAGAGUUAGGAAGCUGCAUGUUGUGACGUCAGUGGGGUGAGACUUCUGGGAAGGAAGAAGACUUUCUCUCAUUAAAGGGAUAGUUAUUCCUCCAGUAUCCUUAACAUUUCUUAGGGUAAACUCAUCCUCCUGAGGGGUGGUAUUUGGCCCAACUGGAUUAACAUUUAAAGAAAAAAUGUUGUGAGCAGCUUUGAAUGUUGGUUUGAAUUCACAGGCCAGAGAAAUAGCUUCCCCUAAUGGCCUCUGCAGAGCACUGAUCAAGGCUCCUGUAACACUGGUAUGCCCUCGGGAGUUACCCCAGGGUGAGAAUUGGCAUGGUGCUUGCUACACCGUAGAAACACAGUCCAGUGUGAAGGCUGAAAUAUUUAGGGCUACAAUGCCACAGGUAUCUAGAGGAGGCUCUCACCUGGGGUUACAGAUGGCUACUUCUCUGUGUCCUCACAUGAGAAAAAGGGAAGGAGAGUGAGGAGGGCGGGGAUCGGGGUGGGGACUGUGUACCUGUGGUCUCUUUGUUCCUCCCUCGUGACCUCAUCUAAUCCUCCCCAAACAGCCCACCUGAAAUACCUAAAUAUGAUCACCUGGGGAUUGAGGUCUUGAACCCUUUUACACUGCUGUAACAAUGUGAUGCUGACCCAGUGAUGUGUUAAGAACAGAUAUGUCUUUCUCACAGCCCUAGAGCAGCGGUUCUCAACCUAUGGGUUGUGACCCCUUGGGGUGAGGGGGAUGUCAAAUGACCCUUUCACAGGGUUUGCAUAGCAUACAUCCUGCAUAUCAGAUUAUGAUACUAUUCAUAACAGUAGCAAAGUUGCAGUUAUGAAUUAGCAACAAAAUAAUUUUAUGUGGUUCACCACAGCACAAGAAACCAUAUCAAAGGGCUGAAGCACUAAGAAAGUUGAGAACCCUUGCUCUAGAGGGUGGGAAAGACAAGGUUGAGAACUGCAUGCAGUCAGCCUGCACCAUCCUAAGGCAGAAGGGAAAAGAGCUCAAAGACAUAGCCUCAAGGCUUUUACCCUGGAUACCAUUAAUGAUGCCUGAGUUCUGGGCCCUACUCACCUGUAAGCAGCCCAGGUCUUCACUGCUAUUGCCUUGAAGGUUACUUAACACACACUUUUGGGGGUACAUAGUUAAACCAACCCAGCUUCAGUGUAUGAAUUUGGGGGACUGGACAUGUAAUUCAUCCCAAGGGUUAAGGAUAUAGGUAUGUUCUACCUGUGGCCAAGAAGGGCUGUGAAUACGGCUCAACACAAAAUUGUUUCCACUAUAAACAUUAAGAGAUUUCUGGGAGGAUUGUUUUGUUCUGUUUUGCUUUUUUAACAGUUCUAGAGUAUGAACAUUGUAACACCUUCAGUGUAACAGUGUCAAAAGGCUGGCAUGCCUGGUCAAGUCUUAAAGGUGACUCCAAUAAACUAGAGAGACAAGAAUAAGACUUCCCAUCCUUCUGCCUCAUCCUGUUGCUGUCCUCACCACAGACGUUCAGCCCCAGUCACGAGAAGGGGGCUCUAGACCAGAGGUUCUCUCCUUUUCCGACCCUGACACUCUUUAACGCAAUUCCUCCUGUUUUGGUGACCCCCCCAAACAUAGAAUUAUUUUUGUUGCUACUUCAUAACUGCAAUCUUUAUUGUUAUGAAUCAUACUGUAGACAUGUGUUUUCCAAUGGUCUUAGAUGACCCCCAUGGAAGGACCCUCAAGGGGUCAAGACCCAUAGGAUGAGAGCCACUACACUAGAGGGUGGUUUGUAGCUUGACUUUGAUGAGCGGAGACAGAAGAGCAGAGAAGAGCUAAGAGGAACAGGUUGGAAUGUGGACUCCUGCUGUAUGUAUGGCUCUGGAGCUAGACUGUGGUCCAGGGUAGGGCAAUCUUUGGAGGCUGUCAGUGGAUGGAGUUUGUAAACCACCACUCCGCUGUGUCCUGGGAGCUUGUAAGUCCUGGGCUUGAGGGACAGAUUCACAGUCCCUGAAUCCCAAUAUGCUUUCGUUAAAAGCUAACUUUGGGUCAAAGUUAACUUUGGAUCGGAUGCUUGUUUGAACCCAAAGCUUUUCAAAGCUCCUCUAAAUAACCUCAUGUUGAUGCCAAUUUUCAGAGGCUAGAAGGGAGCUUCCUACAUAGAGGCAGGGUGCUAACCAAAGUUGAAAGUCUUAACUUUGCUGUCUGAUGGAUCAAGUUAGAGGCGACCUCCUUCCUUGCUAUGUAACCCGCAUGAUUACAUAAUAUCAUCCACACAAUGCAGUGGUUAGGUACCUGCGCCUGAGAACGCCAGGCUUCUCAGAUGUUUCUCAGAAGUCUCUGUGCUUCCGUUUCCUUCCCGGAAAGAUGAAGAUGAAACAAUAAUUCCCAUCUCAGAAAGUGAGAAUAUGAAUUGGAUGACUUAACUCCAGCAAUGUGUUUGUGCUGAUUCAUGGUACACACAGUUACUAACUACACAGAGACACAAGAACACCCAGAGAUACAUACUAGUCAUUGUAAUACUUCAUGACAACACUCACAACAAAACAGCAAACCUUGUAAAUCUUUUCAGGCAGCCUGUGGCAUGUAGUCAGUCCACCUCAGUAGGGGAAAUCUGAUGUCACAAAUUAGCCCAAGGUCAUGUGACUAGAAAGUGGAAUUGCUGAGAUUUAAAUCAAAGCCAUCUGCCCUCAGAUACAUCUGUGUCCACACUUCAAGUUGCUCAAAAUGUAAUUUGUCUUUAUUCAGAUUUUUUUUCCCAUUGUGGGCUGUUAACAGAGAUAGGAUGACAUUUGCCAAAUAAAGGGAUAAAUCUGCCUUAAGCCUAAUUCCCAGUGAACUUUUUCUCUGUCCUCCUUUGACAGACUAGCAAGCCUUUAAGUUGGAAAUUAUGUUAAAACAAAAACAAAAACAAAAAAACCUCCGCUUGAGGUGAUAUCUAAGUAACAGACAUCAGGACUUCAUGUGUCUCCGUGUCUAGGAGGCUUAAUGUUCAAUAACCAUGCACUGUAGCAAACCAGAAAAACAAAAAGCACCCACGUGGCUGCCGCUGGUUGCAGGUGGUGCUCAUUACCACAGGGUACCCAGAAGUGGGUGCGGAUCCUGAGGCGGCCUGCAGAGUUAAAGCAGGAAUCACUGCAGGUCAAGCCCUGCCUUUCAAAACGAAGAGUUCAGAGUCGAGUUUAGACAACUUUUCAUGCAGUACUGUAGAGCACCGCACUGGCUUGUGCUUGUAAGCACACAUUUGGGGGGGCCUGGUGACUGACUCCUCCCUAACUGCUGACCCUAGUUUUGUUUCUCUAGGCACACUCCAUAGAUAAAUGGUCCCAUGACCACCCAUCUUCUAAACACGGCUGAUGUUCAAAGUGCACUGCACCAGCCACCAGUUUGAAAGAGCCGAGAUAUUUGUUAAAAUGCAGGUGUCCCGGCCGUCCCCAGGGCAGUGGGCUCUACAUUGCUUUCACAUCCUCCACAUGACACUGGGCCAGCCACUGGGGCUGUACCUAUACCCCUGGCAGGGAGGAACCUUCCUGCACCCCCUCCCCACUCGCUGCUCCCGGUCUGUCUGAGCUUCGCCUCUAACUCCUCUAAGGGGUAGCGGUAACCCACGCUGGCUGGAUCUCUCUCCAUCCCCUAAGGCGCUUCACAGAAGCCACUUUGCCCUGUCCCUACCCUGUCCAUCGCCACAGCUAAGCCUGGCUGAGCCAAGGGCUGCAUCCACGCGGGUGGGGCCAUCUGGCCACACACCCGUCCGUGACUCAGCCUUCGCGGGCGGCGCACAGCUCCAGGCCGUGCGGGGACAAAGCCGUGCCAGCGCGCCGCACCUGCAGGCCGCCCAGCACCCCCGCCCUCUCCUCCUGGGUGGGGGUGGAGGGGAGGGAGGCCCUGACUGUUGCCAGGCAGGCUGGGCCCGCGGCGGCUGCGGUUGGCUCCCGGUCGCCCGCCGCCCCCGCACCGCCUCCGCGCGCUGAGUCACCCCGCCCCACCGGCCGCCGCCCCGUGGCUCCCACACCUCUGCGCCUGCGCAUACUGCUGCAUUUUUUCCCCCACCCCACCCCCGCCACGGUCCUCGCCCCAUCCGCCGCUCUCGUGCGUGUGUGUGCGCGCGCACUAGGCGCCAGGCACGCGGAAAGGUCGUCAGCUCUACUUUGUUGCCAACGCAACAUCAGGUUUUGGCUCUGCCGCAGUGACAUCACUGCACAGCACUGCCACCACCACCUUGUUUUUGCUCGGUGGACCUCAAAGGUUGAAGCCCGCGACACUCUUCUGGCCGCAACAUAGUCUGCACCCAGGCUCACCGACCCAGACCACCCAGUGGUGUGCGACCCUGGCCUUUGAUAAAGUUGUUGUGGUGCUGCUUGGGCCAGAGUGCUAAAUCACCAAAGGUGCAACCCCUUGGUGCACAUAAAUGUGCAGCUCAAUGGCAAAUAUGGCCAACAUGGACGAAGGCCUGACAGACCACCAACUCUGAAUCUUCCCUUUGGGUGAUUGUGUGACACUGGGCGAUGGAUUUAUGCUCUGGAUCUCCUUUGUCCUUCUGUAAAAUGGAGUUGCUAUCAUGGCUAUCUUAUAGGACUGUGGUGAGGACACACACGACAGUGCAGUAAGCCCCAGGUCAGUGGCUGACUCCCCUUGGAGGGUAUGCACUUGUUAUUCAUCAAAAACAUAGCCAGCUUGAGGCCAUGUUUGUGCUGUUUUAUCUUGGGGCUCUUCUCAAAUCUAAACGCCCGCUUUAACCACUCCUGUGAACUACCCAGCCAGGUAUGUUGGGUUCCUCCUUUGCUCCACUCUCCUGAGAUCCCAUCCAGAGAAGACAUUAGAAACCAGAGGCUGUGGGUUAAGGCUUAUUACCUCCCUUGGUACUGUAGGAAGGCCACAUGCCCUCCCUGAGACUCCCUGAACACCCCCUGCCGCACAGGCUAUGAUGGAUAGCUCAGUAGACAAGAUGUUUUUAAGGUAAGCUUGUGAAUAGGAUACAUAGAUAUCACUCAAGGAACUGGAUGCUGAUGUCUGGGGCUCCUGUCCUUGCCCUACCCCCACCCCAGCCAGGUUUCCUGAGCACAUUUGGAUCCUGCAGUUCUGUGGUGUUGCUUGUUCCACAGGACCUUCCAUACCCUGCCUUGACAGUAGGCUUUGAGAGCAAAGACUAUGUUCUAUUGCACCUUGAAUUCUCAUCACCAAGCAAAAUGGCUGACAGGCAGCCUAACUGACACUCAUUCAGUCUUUGUUAUCAAUAUAAGACAGCAGGAGGCUAUAGAAUAGGUACUUCUCUGGGCCUCAGUCUUCUCAUGGCUUGGAUUGAAUGUGAUCUCUUAGGAUGCCCCUGGUCCUAGCAAUCCUUAGGCUGCAAUUACUCUUCAUCUGGUCAUGGUCUAGUGUGUUUUUACAUCCCACGUGUGCUGGAUAGCUUUAGGCCAACUUUAAGCAAGCUAGAGUCAUCUAAAAGAGAAAACCUUGAUUGAAAAAUGUCUCCAUGAGAUUUGUCUGUAGGGCAUUUUCUUAAUUAGUAAUUGAUGGGGGAUGGGGAUGCCAUCCCUGGGCUGAUGGUCCUGGGUUCUAUAAGAAAUCAGACUGAGUAAGCCAGUAAGCAUCACGCUCCAUGGCCUCUGCAUCAGCUCCUGCCUCCAGAUUCCUAUCCUGUGUAAGUUCCUGCCUUGACUUCCUUCCAUGGUGAACAGUGAUUUGUAAGCAUAUGCCAAAAAAACCCUUUCCUCCUAGUCUUAGUUUGGGUUGUAUCACUGUGAAGAGACACCGUGACCAUAGCAACUCGUAUAAAGGAAGACAUUUAAUUGGGCUGGCUUACAGUUCAGAGGUUUAGUCCAUUAUCAUCAUGGCGGGAAGCAUGACAGCAUCCAGGCAGACAUGGUUCUGGAGAAGGAGCUGAGAGUUCGACAUCUUGAUCCAAAGGCAACAGAUGGAAACUGUGUACCAUACUGGGUGUAGCUUGAGCACAGGAGACCUCAAAGCCCGCCCCUCCAGUGACAUACUUCCUCCAAAAAGGCCACACCCACUCCAACAAAGCCACACCUCCUAAUUGUGCCACUCCCUAUGACCAAGCAUUCAAACAGCUGUGUCUAUGGGAACCAUUCCUAUCAAACCACACUCCCCAAGUUGCUUUUUGGUCUUGAUGUCUCCUCACAGCAACAGACACCCUAAGUAGGACAGCAGCACAUGUUCCUGUGUUUAACCUUGUGUGUGUUGUAUGAGAUGAUUGAACAUGUCCUGCUAGUUAAGGCCCCAUCUCCUUCCAGUUCUCGCUGGGUUUUUCUGCUGAGGCACUGACUGGCUCUGUCGUUGUUAGAGGCACACAGAGCUGAUUGUUCUUGGCAGAUGAGGUCAGUUUUGCCUUCCUCGCUUGGCAAUCACUGCAGUGGCACAUGGCCUCCGAGGGCUCUAAGGAUAGGCACCCCCUGCCCGUUCCAUUUACCCACAGUUUGUCUUGGCAUGUGCAGUAUGUGCAGAUCGCUUGGGUCAAGGAAGUGUGUUCCACCUGUGCGAGGAUCAGUUGGUCAGAGAACCACUAGACUGUCACCAUCUGAAGGAACAGACAAAUGGUGCCAGUGCACCUCUAACAAAUACCUUCUCCUGUUAUCAGUAGGGACGAGAGAAUGAGGGAAAUGUGAUUUCUAGGGAAAUCUUUUCCCGUCCAGCCAAGUGGCCAUGGUGGGAUUUUCUGUAACAUCAGCCCAUCAUGUGGCCAUCUGUCAGUACCAAGACACUGUGCAUACAGGGCAGAUUGACAAAGAUGUUUACAUACAAGGCCGUAAGUCUUACAAAGAAAAUCUGUUCCACUUCCCUUGAAUUUAGGCUAGCCUUUGACAGAAAGAUGCAGUUUCCGUGUUUGACCUCGGCAGAGGCAGUGGGUAAUGGGAGCAGCUGAGGUAUCUGAGAUCUGGCCAUCUCACAUGGAGCCAUCCUGACCCUCACUGUCUGGAUGAACACCACCCAAAGCCCUGGCUCACAGACCUGAGAGCAGCAGCAAUGGCUUCUGGUUUAAGCCAUGGCGUCUCCAGGCAGUUUUCUAAGCAGAAUGUAAAUGUUCAUUCUCUCCUCCAUCUCUAGUGCAGAACAGCAACUCCUUAGCUGGCUCAAGUCUCUGUCCAGUGAGCCUCUCAACAUCUCACCCCAGACGAGAAUCUGAAAUUAGGACAAUGUCUGAAGUCCUGGAAACUCCAACCCAUGCAUCAGGACAAGAGGACUAUACUGCCUCACAGCUCCCUGUGGCUUAGGAAUGGUACUGGGUUAUGAAAUGGGCUGCCAGCAGCACCAAUGUUAAUGUCAGGGUGCUGCUCAGCAGGGCGCCCAUGUGUGGAAGGGAUUUGACAAGCUGCAGCUAUUCACUUCAUGAGUUCACAUGUGAGUAUGGUGUGUGUCAGAGCAGUGCACCUCUGAGUGUAGUGUGUGGUGUCAGGGCAGUGUGUGUGUGUGUGUGUGUGUGUGUGUGUGAAGGCUGUUCACAUGUGUGUGUGGUGUGUGUAGGGCAGUUCACAUGUGAGUGUGGUAUGUGUCAGGGCAGUUCACAUGUGAGUGUGAUUGUGUCAGGGCAGUUCACAUGUGAGUGUGAUUGUGUCAGGAAAGUUCACAUGUGAGUAGUGUGUGUCAGGGCAGUUCACAUGUGGGUGUGAUCGUGUCAGGGAGGUGCAUCUGUCUUAAGGGAGUGUAAAAUUAACCAAAGCAAAACAACGUCUUCCUGUCUGAGACAGGAAGAAAAUGAAAUCCACACCUACCGGGUCCUCAAUCAGCCCUCUAGGCUCAGAAAAAUUGAGAUUUCUGUGUGCUUAAAGGGGGUGGGGUGGGGGUAAAGUAAUAGAAGGAGCAGAGAGGAAAGAUGACGGGAGCAGUUUCUUCCUGGGCUCUAAGAGGCUCUUGCUCCUUGGAUGUGUGAGGAAGGGAAGAUUAAAAAGGGUUAAAAUUCAUGUGGCUUUGUUAAAAUCAAGCACAAUAAAGGAGAGUCUUGGUUAGCUCUUUUUUUUUUUUUUUUUUUUUUUUUUGAAAUAAAAAGCAGUAGAACAAGAGAAAUCAAAAGCUAGCCUUCUACCAUCUGCCGCAGACCCGGAGCUCGUUAGCAUCUUCAGGAGGCUGACUGUAGCUGCCAGCACAGCCGCAGUAAUGAAGGAGCCCCACGCUCAUUGCCAACCUGAGCCGGCUCUGCAGCUCCUUCUCGAUGGCCUUUUGUUGCCUGGUCCAAUUCCCUCCUUCAGACUCCAGAACCUCACGAUCUAGUCAGACAGAAGCUCCGGUGUGGCACAGAGAGAGUUAGCUUUUAUAAAGGUCCGCUCCAGGCAGUGAGAACCACGGAGGACACUGGCCCAGCAAGCCAAGAAUAACACUUCAAACCCACAUUUGCUGCUGGUCUGGGCCUCCUGGGCCUGCGCUCUCUGCCCUAAUCAAAAGCUCCAUACUGGGAAGCUUUGAAAAGCUGGGCUGUCAGAUCCAGGUGUAGGGAGAGCAUAGCCUCCCUCUGUUCCACCUUGCUUCCUAAAGGCAAGUAGGUCAGCACAAGAGUGUCCUGCCGCUCCCACCCCAUGGCUGCCUGAAGGACUUAGCGCUUUCAGGUCAAGAUAUCACAGGGCUGAGGAGAAAAUGUGAAGCCAAGGCAUGUGGCCUGGGGAAGUUUUAAUAAUUCUGAUUUAUUUUCACUGUUUAAAUUCUUCCUGGAAGAACUCAUGAGGGUAGAACCCAAGUGACUGAGGGGUGUGUGUGUGUGUGUCCGAGUAUGUGUGCGUAUGUGUGUAUGUGUAUGUAUAUGUAUGUGUGUAUGUGUAUGUGUUUGUGUGUCUAUGUGUGUAUCUCUGUGUGUGUGUAUAUGUACAUGUGUGUCUGUGUAUAUGUGUGUGUGUGUGUGUGUGUGUGUGUGUGUGUGUGUGUGUAGAGGGCAUAGAUCAAACUUGGGUGUACUUUGUUAGGAGCUGUCUACUCUUUUUGAAACAGGGUCUCUCACUGGGACCUGAACUCACCAACUUGGUGAGGUUGGUCAGCAAGUCCCAGCAAUCCUCCUGCCUCCAUCUUCUUCCCAGCACUGUAAUUGAAAUUACAUAUGAAAUUACCACUUCUCAGGCAGUGGGGAUCAAACUCAAGUCUAGGUUUGCAUAGCAAGCCUUUCACUGACUAGGCCAUCUCAGCACACCCUGAGCCCUCACCAGCUGGGCCAUCUUUUAGUUUUUUGGGUUCAUCAUUCACAGAACCUGAUAACACUAACUCUCACAGGAGUCUCAGGUAAGGGUGUGAAAUUAGCGCUAGUGAGUCUAACAUCCAUUAGCUACACUUUGAUGGCUGUGAGGUUCCCAACGCCAACAGGCUUACUUACAUAGGCAUUGCCAGAGAGUUCCCAGACGGCCCAGCCUAGACAGCAGGUGCCAAGAGCUCAUGUGGAAGCACCAGCUCUGUCUCUCAGCGUGAGCACUGAGCUACAGCGUGAGCACUACACAGGGCUACACAGGGAGACCUUGUCUCUAAAGACAAAAUAGAAAGACAUCACAGUUCACUUGCAUAAGGACAAGUCUAGAUUUAUCCUGGACCAAAGGUUGCCGUGGUAACGAGCAUAAAAGGGUUCCUUUUUGGGACAGGCCUGUCCUCCUCAGUCCCGUGCCUGUACAGUCACGGUGGAGCCAGCAAGCCUGGCUGUGGAGACACGAAGCUCCUCAGCUUGCACUCGAGGCCUGCAACCUCUUAACUUGGUGACACCAUGCUGCCAUGUUGGCCAGCCAUUGUCUCUGUGGAUUUGUACUCACACUGCCCUAUGUGGUGUGUGUGAUUAUCAUUGCUCACCUCACAGACAGACCCUGGCGGAAGGCAAGCUUUGUCACACCGCGUCCUUGGAUAAUCUGCUUGGCUUCUUGGAACCUCAGUUCCUCCAUCUGUAAAAUGGAUCUUCCAAGUUCUCGGUUAUUCCUCGACUUCUCCAUCCUCUUCUUGGCCUGCUUUCUCCCACUAGGUCAUCCUGGUCAGCUUUCAAAGCUGCAUACGGGCUGAUGGCUCAAGGGUCUGUCUUCAGUCUAGCUCUCUCCUCUGAGGAGAGUGGCAUUUAGUCACGUGAACGUCCUCAUUUGAGCAUUCAUUUGCACUGCAGGUUAGCAACUAGCACCAUUGUUUUUCCUCGUCAAGCCUCUCUUGCUCAGUCUUUGUAGUCUCAGUGCCUGCUGCUGCCGUUUGCUCAGGUAGGGGCUCAGGCUGGCUGAUCAUUAUAAACUGGACUCUUGUUCUUAUUCACUUUGUAGUUGAUCCCUCAGUAUAUAGCUUGUCAGCUCGGCCUCCAGGAUGUAUUCUCAGUGCAGUACACCUUCAUGGCGAGAGCCAAGGCUGGCGUAUCAGCUUGAGGUCCUUAUUUUGCCUCUGUCCUCGAUUCCUGGCUCAUCCAUGAUUCUCACCUCCACUUAAAAUUCCUCCAUGAUGGUCCAGGGAGAUGGCUCAGGAGUCCAAGCCCUUGCCACGGAGUAUGAGGAUGUGAGUUCAGAUCCCCAGAGCCCAUGUGAAGCCGCACAGGUAGCAGAGGCUGACAUCCCAGUGCUCCCGCACGACAAGAGCGGAGACUAAGAGAAUAUUAGUCCCCGAAGCUCCCGGGCCAGCCGCCCUGGGUUAUUGGAGGCCUGUUUCUAACAAGGCCAAAGCCAGGAACCAACACCAGAGGUCAAUCUCUUACCUUUGCAGGCAUACUGUGUGCUUGCAUUCACAUAUACCAACACACACACCAUACAUAUAUACACACACAAACAUGAGUGCACUCAUGUGUACACAUGCCAAGACAUCAGACAUACAUACAUAAUACACACCAUACACACACACCACACAUGCACACAUACCACAUACACACAUUCACACAUACACAUGCACACACACAGGCAUACACCACACAGACAUACAUACACACAUACACACACACACACACACACACACACACACACACUACACAGACAAACCGCUUCCAUGCCUUCCAGCACACAUACCAGACAUACAUAUACACAUACAUACAUAUACAUACACCAUACAUAUCACACACACAAAUACACACACCCCAUGCACAUACACCAUACACACCAAACACACAAACAUGCACAAACACACCACACCACACACACACACACACACACAAACACACACACACACACACACCACACACAUAGAAGGCCUCUCUGCACUCGCAGCCAUGGCUGCAAAGCCAAGCCAAGCCUGUGGCCACAGCCACCACCAUCAUCAAGCAAGGAUUCUCUCCCUGCCGGACCAGCUAGAUCCAGCCCAUGGGCCCCCACUUGGUUCUCAGCUCCUCAGCAGCUCCCUCUGGCACCUGGGUGUCUGAGAGCCUGAGAACCAGACAACCUGGCCUCCUUGCAGGCCGUGGACCCCCGAGCCAGCUCUGUCUGUCCCUCAGCUUCUCUAUGGCCUGACACCUGCCCGGUGACAGCAUGGAGUAAGCACAACUCCCUAGUCCCUCCUGCAGUGGUCGUGCCAUGUGGCAGAACAGACAGGGACCCACAUAACCCUACAAAGAAAUAUUAUGUGUCUUGUCUUUGCUGUAUUUCUUACCUAAAACAGGGCCUGGCUCAGAGAUGCUGCUCCAAAAGUAGCUGGGAACUGAUUGACAAACACUCAAUGCUGUCAUGAGGAUUAAACACACACUUGAGCAUGUAUUCAAGCAAAACUGGCGGUUUACACAUACUUGUAUGACACAGCAACAGUCCUCCUAGGAAAACAUGCAAGAGAAAUGACUGUACACAUGUGAAAGACACUGGCACAGCAAUGCAUGCAGUGAGCAGGGGACAAGAGCCAAAGCCUGGGAGUAGGCAGAUGUCCACCAGGAAGGGCACAGAGGUGCACAAAUGUGUGCAGCUGAAAAGCCACUCCGUAAGGAAGAGCCUCGGUGCCGGUGUGCACAGGAUGGAUGACUCUUGUGGGCAGAAAGUUGAUCAAAGGUGGCCACUCUCAGAAAAGGCACAGCAUGUGAACCUAUUCAUACGAAAUUCAGAAUAGAGCCAACUAGUCCUGUGUGUGCCCAGCGACCCCUUUCCAGAGCCAUUCAUGGGCAUAGGGUAGUGCACACAGUGUUUUUUAAUACACAGCAGUGAGACACGCUGGUUAGGGGGUGGGGGUGGGGAUUUGCAUUGCCGAUGGCACUGGGGUCUGCAGAAGGGUGCUGUGGGUAGAAAGAAGGCUUGGCCUUGGUAAUUUGGGAAAGCUGUGUGCAAGGUUGCAUUAACCAACAAAGGUUUGGGGACAGCUGGGAAAACAAAGCAUCUUCAAAGACCUCCAUGGAGGAUCCUGGGACUUCACACAGGAGUCAGAUGAGAAACGUAAUGCAUGUGGAGAAUGCGACCCCGGCAGUGACCAUUGCUGUGGCUGGUAGCUUCCUGCCAGGCAGGGAGGGCAGAUGGUGGCAGCUGGGAAGGGUGAUAAACAAUUUCAUACAGCCAUAAGCCCUGGUCCUCACAGUUGCGCCUGGGGGGGUUGCGCUGGCCAAGGAUGCUGCUCCAUCCAGUAGCAGGAGAUGCUUCUUUGUGGGCCCUUUCCACUUCACCACGGCAAGAGCACACAAACCAGGAAGAGGCCUGUACGGUGUCUAUUAAGAAACCCAAAGAUCACUCAGCGCUCCAGAGGUAAAGUCCAGACAAAGGCCUUCCAGCCCCUCCCAGAAGCUGCUCUGUAGCCGAGUCCCCUGACAUUCAUCUUUCUCGUUGCAACAGUGCCUUUAGCCGGUUGGAAAAAAACUGCUCAGUGUGUAACCAGGACCUGGUGAGACCUAGUCGGUCAAAUUCAGAAAAGGAAAAAAAAAAAGUGCGUAAUGGCCAUAGAAACAGACCGUGUAUAGGGCUUCUUGGGGCUGUGGACACGGACCUGCUAAUGUCAGCCAUUAAGCCAUUCAUCUGUGGUACUUGCCAUGUGUGCUCUCCUCAGAUGUUCCUUCGCUACUGACUGGGAAAGAAUUACCUGAAAAGUUGGGAAGUGUGUUUUGUUGUUCUUAACAUCGGGUUUACAAAGGAGGGUCAGACCAGCACCACCAAGGAGGUCUUGGGUAGUGCUGUCUUUUUUGUUGUUGUUUAAAAAAAAAAUGAAGGGUUCAUUUCUUCAACCUAAAGACAGCCAAGUAAAGGAGAUGAGAGAAGUUGGAGGAAACAGGAAUUUGGAUUUCGGUUUGUGCUGACAGGCUAAGUAAACAGGAUUUUACUUUGUGCUGACAGGCUAAUUGUGUACACAGGAUUUCACCCUGUGCUGACAGGCUAAAUGUGUACACACCUAGAGGUGACAGCAUUAUUGGAAGGAUCAUCCCUGAGUGUCAAGAGUUAAGAUUUUCUGUGGGCAUGACAAGGAGGCAAACUGGAGAGAAUCUGCAGCUCCACCUGGGCUGUAAGAAACAUUCCUGUCGGAUGGCCCCACCACCAGCAGAGACUGAAGGACUAGGAUUAAAAAUAAAAGAGUAGAAGGUGAGAGAUCAAAUCUUAGAUGGGGAAACUCUGAGACAGUGAGCGGCCAAACAAGUUUGGAAGGUCUUCAGUUCCUCGGAUAAUGCCAGUGGGUUUCUCUAGUUCUACCCUGCUAGAUCUCUGAGGGAAACUGCUGUCUCCAUUCCAAAUGCUAAUGGUGAGUCACAGUUCCUGGCUCUGUAAGCAGGUUUGAUCCUCGGCCUCUGGGGAAUAAACGGUCUGUAAUGGACCCAAGAUGGCAGAACCAUGAAUGCCUGGAGAGCCGGAGAAGAAAGAGUGCCUGAGGUUGCGGAUGGGCACAGGGAAAGGAUGUGCUGAUGAGAGGCGCGGAGGAAUGCUGGGUAGAGUGAAAGGACUCGAAUGUGAGAGCGCACUCCCAUGCCGCCCACCCCUCUUCAGCCUUCAUCUCUGGAAUCACCUGGGGGGGCCUGACCGAAAUGCGGUGUCCUGGGGCCCGGAGAGUUCUCGUGGAAGAGUCAGCCACGUGGACUGGGCCUCAGUCAGGAGCACCCUGAGGAGCAGUCACCGACUGGAACCACUUGACCGGAAGUACCCGAUCUCGGUCAGUCCUCAAGGCUUUGCUUCCAGAGCCUCCCCGAUUCUGUCACCACUCGGGUAUUGUCAGCCACCAGUCAUGUCCUUCACUAUUGUUUUAAUUUGUGUUGAAUUCCCGCUGUUUUCUGCCAGAAGAAAUCUAACUGAAACACAGAAGCCAUUUUGUGAACAUUCCCAGCGUUGGUUCAGCCUCAGUGAUGCCUCAGGCAUGCGCAGAAAAGCCUCGCUUCUGUUAACUCAGUAAAGUCCUUCUAAUCAUCCUGGAGCUGGAAAACCCUUUUACCACUCAGAAUGAAACAUCAAGAGUGACCAGCCACAGUGCACAGCACCUGAAGGAAGCCAGCCCUUGUCUCUUCUGUAGAAUGACAGGAAGGAAUGCCUUGUGCUCGAUUAUUCUGUGUACUUCAUUUCAGUAAGAGAAAGUGAUUGGCUCUAAGGGGUGAGGCCAGUGUGGUAGUGCAAGCCUGCGUCUACAGCUCCUCAGCCAGGUAGCAGGGGACGGUGGCCUGAGCUCAGACAGGCGCCCUAGGCCAGGCUGAAGAGCAUAGUGAGACCUUUUCCCAAAGAUAAUUAUUAUCAAGAAGAGGGGCAGUGUGUCUGACAGGAGCAAAGGCCUCCCUGGGCUGAGAACAGAACUGACCUCCUGAAGCUGCAUCAGGUGAGGGAGGACAGGUGAGCCAUGACACAGCUGUCACUGUGCCAUCCACAAGCAGAAGAGAUUCUGAAUUCGGUAGGGACAUCUCCUCAGCUCCCAUGAUGUUGACCUCAGGUCGGGCUAUUUCUGGUCACUGCAGAGGCAGGAAGCUGUGCACAGCAGGGUUUCCUGUCAGGCCCAUCCCCUCUCAUACCUUGAAGUAGAGGAAGGCCCAGUUUAAGAUUUAGCCAGCCAGGCAGAUGGAGACGGGUCCUUGACAGGCCCCCACUGCUGUGGCUAAAACAAGCGGUAAGAUGUUAGAAACACGUAAAGCUCUUGCAGAAACCAAGUGGUUGGCAGCCCUGGCCACCAGAUUUCUCCCCUCACAGCGAAAGGGAGGGAGUUUUCUCUAGUUUCACAGCAUGGCUUAUGGAAAACUCCAGAGAAAGCAAGUCUCUCAUGAUCAUGUACAGUCCAUAGACUACCAUGGAUUCCUGCUUAAACCCAUCCUGUUCAAACAAAAAGACCCAAGCUUAGGACCUCUACAUACAGAAGAAAUGCUGGUCGCUGUAGAGGCAGAGGUCUUGGUGUUACUGGGAACAGGGAUGGUCCUAGUUCCUGGGUCACAGCCAUCAGAGACAUGGGCAGGAGCUCAGAGGUGCUGGAAAGGGCUAACAGGACUCCUGUUCUCUGCCCAAGAAGAGCUUGUGGUCAUCCACUCAAACUUCCAUUAUGGAGCAUUCACUAUAGGUCUUAGGGUGCCAAGUGCAGUAAGUGGGCAUGGCCCUCUCCUGGCAGAGUGAGUGGCCUUAUCAAUCUCUCUUCUACCUGUGACAAUGUCUUCUUGAUGCUUCUCUGUGUUCAACUAAACUUGACCAACUUCUGAAAUGAGAGGAAAGUCAUUACAAUGAGCUAUUAGACCCUUGGUUUUGAAGGCAUACAUGCGAAGGCAAUAAGGCCAUGGAGAGAAAGGCCAGUGAGAUAGCUCAGCCAUAAGGAAUGGCUCCUGGUACUGAGUUCAGUCCCUGAACCCAUAUGCAGGUGGACAGAGAGAACAGACUCCACAGGCUGUCCUCUGUUGACACACACAUGCGUGCACGAAUGCAGACAGCACAUACCAAUAAGCUGUACACAUACUCACGUGCAUGCACAUGCACAUAAAUAACAAAUUUUAAAUAUUUUAUAUAGUUCAUCUUAUUUAUUGGGUAUGGCUGUGUGUGUGGGCACACAUGUGGAGGUAAGAACAGAAUAACUUCAGGGAGUUGAUUCUCUCCUCCAUUAUGUAGGUCUCCAAAAUGAAACCAGAUUGUCAGGCAUGGCAGCUGGUACCUUUACUUCCACCCAAAAGAGAAGGAAGAGAGGACCAGGUAUGACAGCUAGUGCUAAUUUUCAACUUAAAAAAUUCCAGAAUCAUCUGAGAUCUCUGGUCUUGAUGGUGCUGAGCUAUCUUGAUUGUUUUGAUUGAGGUAUACAGACCUGCCCACUAUGAGCGGCACCAUUCCCUGGCUGGAUCUUGGACUGUGGUAAAAAGGCGACAGAGGCUGAACAUUAGCAAGCUUGCAUUCCUCUCUUUGUUUCCUGAUUGUGGAGUGAGGUGACCAGAUGCCUCGAGCUCCUGCUGCUUUAACUUUCCCCUGGAUGGGCUGCACUUUGAACUGGGAGCUAAAACAAUCCCUUUCUCCCUUGUUUCUUUUGUCAGGUUAUUUGAUUAUAGUAAGGAAAGGAAAAACUAAACAUUAGACAAUCACAUUGCUGUAGGAAUAGUGGACUUUGCACUGGAGACACCUUUUGGGCAUGAGGCAGAAAACAGGCAUUUUAAAACAAACAAACUAACUUCUACUGUUAACUAGUCUGGCAAUGUUUUCUUUUCUCAAUUACUGAAGGAAUGGUUUCUGUACUGGAUUUGGGGAUUACAGACAUGAGCAAGUCAGCAUCUUGUGCUCUAGGGCUGUAGUUCUUGCUGAGAGGCAGAUAUGUAACAGCUGUAAACAGUAGGAAGUUAUAGGUGCUAUAAUGGAAUUAGGGAGAGGAAGUGGAAAGGACCACAAAGGGAGCAGUCGGCUCUACCUUAUCCCGCUCCAUACCCAGAGACUAAAGAACUAAGCAACAGCAUUGAGGCAGAGUGUCUUGAUGGUGUGGAAGAUAAAGGAUGGAGUCUGGCUGUAGCUCAGCCUCCGCGAUCCAUCGUCCCUCCUCAGGAACGCCCGUGAUUGUGUAGGAGCUGCUCUGUGACCUGCUGCUAAGUUUGCUCCCACCACAAACCACCACAUGGCCUUGGGUUUCUGCCUUCCACACAAUAGCUGUUUUUGAAAUCCUGAUCUCAUGGUGUUUUAACCUGUUCUUUUUCUCGUAAUUGUCUUCUCCUUCAUAGAGGCCAUGUCCUCCUCUAGUCUAACAAAGCUGGAAAACUUUUCCCCUAGAAUUCUUUUUUGAUUCCUGAAAUCUAUUAUUCUUGGAAGUGCACUUUUCCACGGGGUUUCUAGAUGACACUUUGCCUUCUUUUAGCUGCAGGGUCCCAAAAUCUUGCAUGGCAGAGAAGAAACUCUGUUCUGACCUCAUGGCUGCCAAUAGUUACAGUGUGUGUGGCUUUCUCUUGAUUCCCUGGCCAAUCCCUUCCUGGGAUAUACAACUGAGGGCGGGGCUUAGUGGCAGUUGUAGUGACUACAAAGUAUGGAUUCCUUUAUUGUGGUUUUCUGGAUUUGAGGAAGAUAUUUGACAUUCUAAACCUGUAGUUCUCAACCUUCCUAAAACUGUGACCCUUUAAUGCAGUUCCUCAUGCUGUGACGUUAAGAUUAUUUUUGUUGCUACUUCAUAACUGUGAUUUUUUUUGCUACUGUUAUGGAUCGUAAUGUAAAUAGCUGUGCUUUGUCAUGGUCUUAGAUGACCCCUGUGAAAGGGUUAUUAGACCCCCAAAAAGUCUGCGUGCAACCCACAGGUUGAAAACAACUAAGAAUUCUAAACAGAUCUGACUGUCUCUCUCUCUCUCUCUCUCUCUCUCUCUCUCUCUCUCUCUCUCUCUCUCACUUACACACCUCUGAAUGUACUUUUAGAGGAGUCCUCUCCUCCCUUGUACUCCAUUGGCAGCAUUAGCUUUGUCGGCAGGAUACUUCUCCAGCACAGACCACCCACCACCUGCCUAUGUCCUUCACCACCCUCACAUGGCCCCCCAACUUCCUGCACUAUUGUUGGGGAUUGCUGGCUGCUCUUCCAGAGGACUCAGGUUCAAGUGUCAGCACCGUAUGUUAGCCCACAACCAUCUGAAAUGCCAGCUCUAGAGGAUCCAAUAACCUCUUCUGGUCUCCUCAGGCACUAGGCUCAUACAUGGCACAUAGACAUACCUACAAGCAAAGCACUCAUACACACAAUAAUGAAAUAAUUAAAAUCCUUUCUUCUAAAGAUUAUAACGAGUCCUGCCUCAGAACACAGAACCAGGGACUAGGAAGAUGGCCCCGUGGUAAGAGCUCUUGAUGCGAAAGUGUGAAGACUUGGGUUUGAAGCCCCGGGACCUAUUAGAGAGAGAGAGCGCGCUACAGGCAUAUACGGAAGGACUUCAAUGUUGUGUGCUGCAGAAAUGAGGGUCAUUGAACUUGCUGGCCGCUUGCUUGGCUCCAGCCUCAGUGAAGAUCCCAUCUGGAGUGACUAAGGUAGUGAUACCAAUGGACACCGGUGUCCUUGGAUCUCUACACAUUACACAAACACCAUGGAUGUACACACAGACACACUCCAUAGGACCAAGCAACAGAGAAUGGAUUCCAUGUUUUUAGUUUAUCCAGAUCCUGAACCUCUAAGUCAGAGUCAAAAUCUGGAAAAAAAAAUAAUCUAGCUUCCAAGCCCGCCUUACCAGAGGUGAGGACUCAUGCUCAGGGCAGGUUGAGCUCAUCUUGGCCUUGUUUUUUUUUUAAGAUUUAUUUAUUUCACGUAUGUGAGUACACUGUCUCUGUCUUCAGACACACCAGAAGACGGCAUCAGAUCCCAUUACAGAUGGUCGUGAGCCACCAUGUGGUUGCUGGGAUUUGAACUCAGGACCUCUGGAAGAGCAGUCAGCGCUCUUAACCACUGAGCCAUCUUUCCAGCUCUCAUCUUGGUUUUACAGCAUUUAAAACGACUCUACAUUUCUUCCAACUUUGGCUGUUAGGUUUCCCAUAGCUGAUUCCAUAGCUGUGAAUCAUUGUGUACAUCCUAAAGAGGUAUUUAGCAAAGAGUCGGUAAAGGUUAUCUUAGGUCUUCAUAAAACCAGCAGAUCUCAACCUUCCAAUUGCUGCAACUCUUUAAUAUACUUCCUCAAGGUGUGGUGAGCCCCAACCAUAAAAUCUUUUCAUUGCUACUUCAUAACUGUAAUUUUGCUACUGUUGCGAAUCGUAAUGAAAUUUCUGAUAUGUGACACCCAAAGAGUCAUGACCCACAGGUUGAGAACUGAUGUCAUGAACAGGCUCCAUCUGAACCUGAAUUACAUCCUCAUUGGCCCAUCCAGCUGGCAUUUACUGAAUACAAGCAGGUGCUUAGCUCUGUGAGACACUGAAGCAAACUCCGAGCCCUUCCCCACCUCUGCCUCCCCCUCCUCCCCUCCUCCUCCUCGUCCUCCUCGUCCUCCUCUUCCAGCUGACAUUAAUGCUUCAGGGCAGUGAGAGAGAGAUUAAGUACCAGGAGCUGCUUCUCUGCUCUUCUCUUGGGGCCAUGAAUUCGACAUUGUGGGAGAAAACAGAAUGAUAGUUUGAGGUUUGGUAUUGAAAGUCUUGAAUGACAUGUUGAAGUGUAGACUUUGAUGUGUAUGGGCACUGGGGAAGGAAAGGAGCUGUGCUUUGGGAAGUUCAUCUGAGUGGGUAAGUGAGGAUAGCACUGGAAGACUAGCAGCUAUGCACAGCAGAGCACAGCAGUGCACAGGGAUGCACAACAGUGCACAGCAGUGCACAGGGCUACACAGAGGUGCACAGGGAUGCACAGCAGUGCACAAGAAUACACAGUGAUGCACACUAAUGCACAGUGGUGCACAGGGAUGCACAGCUUUGCACAGUUUUGCACAGUGGUGCACAGCAUUGCACAGGGAUGCACAGCUGUGCAUAGGGAUGCAGUGAGAGCUUGGCUUCCUAGUGAGAAUAGUAGAAACAGACAAAUGGGGCCUGGGAAGGGUCCGAUGAUCAAAAAGGAGCAAGGACACAGGAGAUGACACCACAUUUCAGGUUCCUAGACAUAAAAGGUCAGCAUGCCUCCAAACAAGAAAUCGAGAAGAUGCUUACUGUGUUGGGACAUGAGCAAAUAUCUGACACAGCCAGACAUGGUGAUGCGCAGUUUUAAUCCCAGCACUUGGGAGGUACAAGCAGACCGUGAGUUCGAAGCCAGCUUGGUCUUGUGAGUCCUUGUCUCAGAAGCAAGCAAACCUGGCAUAAGCUACUUCAGCAGAGGGGGUGGUUCUGAAGUAGAGGGGCAUCCAGGUAGACAGGAAACGGGAAAAAGGAGGGCCAGGAUGAGAUAGAGCCUUGCAGUGGUUUGAGUGAGCAAUGUCCCCGUAGGCUCAGGUAUUUGAAUAGUUGGUCAGUGUUAGGGGAGCCCGGUGGAGGAAGUAUUUGGUGGGGUAGACUGAGAGCGUACAGCUUCGCCCCACUUUGAGUACGUUGUCUCUGCUUUGCACAUCUGGGUAAAGAUGUGAACACUCACCUUCUUGCUCCUGCUGCCAUGCCAGCCAGCCAGCCACAUGCACCCUCCCUCUGGAACCAGAAACCAAAAUAAACCUUCAUUGAGUUAUGUUUGCUCAAGAUAUUUGACCACAGCAAAACUAACCAAUACAAACCCCAAGGACACACCCUAAUGACCCACGUCCCCUAGGCCUCAACCCCCAUGCUUCACUUCCAAAGAAGGCCAUCAUAUAUUGGCUCCUUCGAGAGAUUAAGCCGCUGAUUAGAUCAGAACUCUCAGCCUGCAGCCAAGCCCCCGGUGCCCGAGGCUCUGAAGAACGUGUCGCACUGAUUUUACUCAGCAUACGAGGUCCAACUAGUACAUGAGACAUCUCACCAAGAGAUCUAACAACGCCUUGGCACUGCCAGGGUGGGACCUCUAGCUGUAAUGGUAGCUCAUCUCUUUGUGUAUGCUUUGGCUGUCCAAAAUGUAACCAAAAGCAAGCUGGGGCUGAAAAGGUUUAUUUGCCUUACACUCCACAUUGUAGUCCAUCACUGAAGGAAGUCGGGGCAGGAACUCAAACGGGCAGGAACCUGGAGGCAGGAGCUGAGGUGUGUUGAUUACUGGCUUAUGCAUCAUGGCUUUCUUAUAGAAUCUAGGACCACUAGCCUACGGAUGAUCCCAUCCACGAUGAGCUGGGCUCUCCCACUAAUUAAGAGAAUGCCCUACAGCUGGAUCUUAUGAAGUCAUUUUCUCAAUUGACGUUUCCCACCUUUCAGAUGAUUCUAGCUUGUGCCAGGUUGAUAUAAAACUAGCCAGGUCAGUGGCUGUCUUCAUCCAAGUGAAGCCAGUGAGGCAGAAAGGCAAAAUGUGUAUUAGUUACUUUUUCUAUUGCUGUGAAGAGACACCAUGACCAAGGCAACUCCUACAAAGGAAAACAUUUAAUUGAGGCUGACUUACAGGUUCAGAGGUUUAGUCCAUUAGAAUCAUGGAGGGAAACAUGGUGGUGUGCAGGCAGACAUGGUGCUGAAGAAGGAGCUAGGAGUUGUACAUCCGGAUCCACAGGCAACAGAAAGAGAACUGAACCACUAGGCCUAGCUUGAGCUUCUAAGACCUCAAAGCCUGCCCCCCUAGUAUUGCAUGGCCUCCAACAAGGCCACACCCACUCCAACAAGGCCACGCCUCCUCAUAGUGCCACUUCCUGUGGACUUAUGUAGGCCUUCUUUAUUCAAACCUCCACAUGUUGCUUUGCCCAAAGCACCGAGAUUGUCCACUGUUGGGAAAAGAAUGCUGUUUAAAAAGCUGAUGAGUCUAACUUUAAAACUACCAUGAAUUUGAAGGGAAUUGGUACUCAAUAUCUACAAUAGGCAGACUCCCAGGAAAAUGCUAUUCUGGUUUUCCAAUUCCUGUGCAUCUGAUGAAAGGAAGUUACAAAUGAGAGUCAACUUUUGCUUUCAGGGAAAGAGCGUGGAAGGAAAGGGACAUUUGGCAUUAAAAUCUACAGAUAGCGCAAACACUGGUUUCAACCAGAGAUCUCAAUUCCUCCUCCACCAUUUUAUUUUUAAAACUAGAGGUACCAAGCACCUGUCUGUGGGGUCUGGACCUCACAAGAUGUGAAUUCUCUAGAAGGCAGGCAUGAGGAGCAAGAAGAACAAGCAGUCCAGGACUAACGGCCUCUUCUUGUUGAAAAGUGGCCUCUCUUGCCUGCUCCUCGAUGGUUUCAUGUGGAGGAUGUACAGGCUCAGCACUGUGAGCUGCCAGGGGACAUUUCUUUUGAAAAGCUAGCUCUGUGUUUAACAUCAACAGCAACUCCUGGGUGGAGACCCCAGACUGUAAUGGCUGUGCAGUGGCCGAAGGCAGAGGGAUAGGAAGGAUACUGCUCUCAUGCACAGCAUUUCUCAUCUCAGCUGAGCCUGAAGCCCUACCAGUGUGAGCCUCCAAUAAGGUACAGAGCUAACCAGUGUACAGUCGCUGCCAUUUUAAAUGUCAUUUUAAAUGUCCUGAGACCGAUGCUUCCUGGUGACCUCUUUAAGGGCCUCUCCCAUUUCGUUGCCCCAGUCAGUCUCCAUGUUUCUGGGAAUUGUGUUAGCAUUGGGCAGACUUUGGCAUGGCUUCUGGAACACACUGGUGUUCCCUAACACUCCAUUCUUCUUACCAUUCUGUGAACCUCCAGCUCUCCACAUUCUUUCCCUGCUAAAAACUAUACUUUCCAACUCAAAAUGACAGUUCCUUCCUGUGUGACGCUUCAUUACCAUGUCUUCUUGACACUGUGCCGUACUUCCUAUCAUGUUACUGCAGCGUAUUCCCCCUUCACUUAAUGUUCUCUGAAAUGUGGGUCAUGACCUAUUAGUGAGCUUUGAAAUCACUUUAGUGGGUCAUGACCUGAAUUUUAAAGAAUGAAACAGAAGAGCUGAGAACACCUUGGGAUGUAUCGAACACACAUUCUAAAUUACACAAAGGGUAAACAUAUUUCCUAACUUGAUUUAUGGCCAAAAAGCCUGGAAAACAUUAUCACAUAGUAACGACGUUUUCAGCGUUUCUAGAACAGCAACCUUGAUCCACCUAGGCUAAGCGACAAAUAACGUAUUAACUUAUGUGACAAGAAGUCUGGAGACAGGGCAAUACUAGCUAGCUUUGGUUUAUCUGCUACUCAGCAGCAGCAAGGACCCAGACCUCUGCCCUUUUCUCCAUUGCAAGAGCUCCCUCCAUCAUAACACCAAGAGGCAGAAGAGAAAGGUGACAUUAAUAGUUUAGAUCUCUUUUUUUAACCAGCUCUAAACUGACCCCAGCUCUUUCCACUACUCUUCAAAAUGCAUAACUGAAAUAAAACAAACAAUGUCUCUCUUUGGACCUAGAAAGGAAAACUGAAACGAGUAUCUGAAGAUAAGGUUGCCUCUCAGAAACUCUUGUCUGGUUUUAUUGCUGGGGGAAAAAAAGGGGGAGAAACUGGUGAACUGGGGCUGGGCAAUCCAAAGCAUGUGUGGGCCACGCACAGAUAAACGCAUGGUGAGGUUCGCACCCGUUUCCCUUCAUACUCUGCAAUGCUUUCUUUGUAGCAAGUACCUCAAUUCCAGUGAUUAAGUUAAACCAACCACUUUGCUUCAAAGUAUACAUAUUCAUGGGGUACAGAGAUUAAACGUCCAUCCCAGAUACAGGCGGCUGCACACAGAGCUUGGGACGUGUUGCUGUCUUUCCCCAGAGCUGGAAUUUCUUUCUUUUCUAGGACUCUAUUAAAUGCGAAGAGCUAGAGGGGCACUGUUGGACACGGGGAUGCUAUUUCAGUAAUAAAAUGCAUAUUCGUCACAAUGCAGAUGGCACUCUGAGUUCCACAGAUGGGACUGGGGCUCUGGGGAGUGGCAAACAGGAACGGUGGGUGUGGCGAGACAUGACGUCAUCCAGAUAGGGCUUUCUCUAGAACCGCGGCAAGUUUACCGCUGAAUCAUCCUUGGGGCCAGUUAUCGGCAUGUCAGUUGGACAAAGGUCCCUGUAAUUAAGCACUGUUACACCACUUGCCUCGGCACCAUUCUGCUUAUGUUGCCAUUUGAGGCCAGACACGAAAACAUGAAUACAUAAAAUUAACCAAUCUGCUAGAGCCGCGGUGGAGAGCAGAAGCCAACACUAUUGUGAAACCAGUGCUAUUGCUGGCCUUCUCCCAACGGCACAAAUGUAGGUAUGCAGACUUGUGUGUUCAUUUACACACACACACACACACACACACACACACACACACACACACACCCCUCCAUCAGAGAAUACACACAUUCUGGACUUGGAACUGAGGUAAAUGUUCAUUCCUGAAAUAAUUGGGAUCUGUAUUUGCUCUGGCUACAAACCCAAGACUCUCCUGCAUGUCCAGCAGAGGAAACGACGUGGGAGAGCCAUCCCAGUCCUCAAAGGUCAGCACUUUCAUCCUUCUGGAGAGGCACAAACCUGCUCUCAGCUGCCAGGCUGCACCCAGUCCCAGGAAGGCAAGAGAUAUGGAGGUGUCUGGCUUUCUUCUCUGGGUUUAACUCAUCACCCACUAUCAGUCUGCAAGGGAUCAGUGGCCCCAACUAGUCCCAGCUGGGCCAGAGCUUCUCCUCCAUCCAGCUACAGGACGGUCCUUGUUAACACAUUCACUGGCCAGCUAAGACAGCCAUUGUGGGAGGCAUCCAGAAAGGAUGAAGAAGUCACAAGAGCCCUGGUAGCGUUUUCCUUAGCAUCAUGCUAGACUCAGUCUCCAACAAAGUUGAAGAUAUUUCUCUUGCCUUUACAGGAGUGGGAGUUGGGGGGUGAGGUGAGGGGGUAGGGGUGAGCAGAACAGAGCCAUUUAACAAAUGGGGCUUAGACAAGGAAGCAGUCAUUACAGAGAACUGUCAGGGUUUAGCUUUCCUUUCUACAGAACAAGCAGUAAUUGCUAAGAGCCAAUGUGUAUGAAGUGCUUGCUGUGUGCCCUGCACAGUUGAGAGCUUCCAUACAUUUAGACCCCAGGCCCGACAGGUCAGUGCUUCUGUUACUAUUUUUAGAUGAAGUAGUAAACCUUGAGGCUAGUGUAAUGGCUCAGUGAAUAAAGACAGUUGCUGUCAAGCUUGACAAUCCGAGUUUGAUACCCUGGGACCUACAUGGUAGAAAGAAAGAACUGACUUCCCCAAGCUGCCCUCUGACCUCCACACACACACAGAAACAGCCAUACACACAACAGACACACACAGAUUCACACAUACACACACAUAGCACUAAACAUGUUUUGUGUUUUUAAAGAAAGGAAGCCUUAGGAAGAGAAGAGCCUUUCACUGUCUGCAGCUACCCCGUUUUCCUGUCUGUUUCCAAAGCUUCCACUCUGGAGGAUUCAGCUCUGGCGUUAGACAGCUUGGAUCUUCAGAGGCCCCUAAAGGCCCACUGGCGCCUACAGUGGCUCCUUUGGAAGGUGGAAGCUAAGAGGGUGGGGUCUGGGGGAAGACCCUUACCUCCUUGCAAGCUGUGGGGCCCUGACUUUUCACUUCCUCUCUUGUUGUUCUCUAGACGUGAGGUGAGUACUUGUCUCUCGCACCAUGUACUGGCACUGUAGGCCCGAAGCCUUGGGGCAGAUGUGUCCCGAGACUGCACUCGAAAUAAACUUCUUCUCUGUCAGUGGACUGUUCAGUAUACACAGCCGCCCAGCCCAUGUCCCCAGUGACGCUUUCCCUACGCAUCCAUCUAAAUGCAGCUCCCAGCCCUCUGGAAUGUGCCCCCACCCAGACAUUUUCUACAUAGAAAGUCUAAGUCUGUAGGUCCCUCUCAUUUCCUUGUUGACUCUUAGUCUCUGCUAUUGAGAGACUUAGCUGUGUGAGGGCAGGAACUUUAUCUCUGUCAGUUGCCCCAUUCACCUGUGCAAGCAUGCAUCCAUAAAUGAACACAGUUGGUGACAUGUGGACAUGAACAUGUCUCAUGCAGAAACCUAGUGUUCAGUCCCUUUGUCUACUCUCGCCGUAACUAAUCCAUCCUGCCAUCAAACAUUUAUUAAUUACCCACCAGUGUCGGGCACCAAGGUAGGUCCUCGAGAACCAAAUGAGCAAGACAUAGUCUCUACCCUCGAAACCCCACCUCUGAGAGGGAUGAUAGCGAGGAACGAUACCAGGGACACAUCUCAGCAGAGAGCUUUGUGUCAAGUGACAUAGCAACAGACAGCAGAGCUGCCUCUGCCGGACCAGGAAGACUUCCGCAGAACAGCUGGAGCUCGAACAGCUGGAGCUCGAACAGCUGGAGCUCAAACAGCUGGAGCUCGAACAGCUGGAGCUCAAACAGCUGGAGCUCGAACUGCUGGAGCUCGAACAGCUGGAGCUCGAACAGCUGGAGCUCGAACAGCUGGAGCUCAAACAGCUGGAGCUUGAACAGCUGGAGCUCGAACAGCUGGAGCUCAAACAGCUGGACCAUGAACUGGAAAGUGGACUCUGGACUAGAGGCAGGGAGGGAGGUAUGCAGAAGUGGGAUGACCGGGGAGGAUGCAGGAUCCGGCACUAGACUUUACCCACCUUAUCGAGCUCAGUCACGCUUCCAUCUUGUGUCUCAGCAAUUAGGAAGACCAACUGAUCAUGAGGCUCACGGAAAUGCUGUGAAGGGCACUUCUGCCUGAGGUGCUGUAGAGGAAGAGUGAGUGUAUCUGUGUGUUGGAUCAGAUACCCUCCAACUCUGUCUCAGUUAGGGUUUCCAUUACUGUGAAGAAACACCAUGACCAAGGCAACUCUUAUAACAGAAAACAUUUAAUUGGGGCUGGCUUACAGUUUCAGAGGUUCAGUCCAUUAUCAUCAUGGCAAGAAACAUGGUGGCGUGCAGGCAGGCAUGGUGCUAGAGACAGAGCAGAGAGGUCUACAUCUUGAUCUGAAGGCAUCAGAGGGAGACUGUGUGCCACACUGGGCAUAGCUUGAGCAUAGGAGACCACAAAGCCCACCUCCACAGUGAUGCACUUCCUCCAACAAGGCCAUGCCUCCUAACAGUGCCACUCCCUAUAGGCCAUGCAUUCAAACACAUGGAGUCUUUGGGGCCAUUUCUAUUCAAACCACCACAAACUCUUAGAGUGCUGUAAGUAGAGUGUCUGUCACAUGAAGGUGUCAGUAGACUGUGUGUGUGUGUGCAUGUGUACUGUGUGUGGUGUGUGUGGUGUGUAUGGUGUGUGUGUGUUGUGUGUGUGUGUGUGCUCACGCACUGUAGAACUCACCAGUCCUUUGUUCUGUCUAUCUCAUCACUGCCAGUUGUAGGCAAGGGCAGGAAUGAGAGCAUCCACAGAGUCCAGUCUCUUCAGAGAUGCUGCCUGUGCUUACAGUUAGAAGCACGAGCUUACCUGACAUCAUAGCCUCCUCUCUAUGUGGCUCUCUCCUAUGGAUGUGGAUCUCGUUUGCAUUUUCAGAGCAGCCUAUCACAAUGAGGACAGCCUCUUCCUUCACAUCCUCUCGGCUUCACGUUCAGUGUUUGCUCCUUCAGAGUGAAAGACAUGUCUGGGUCCUGCUUUCUACAGCCUGUACCAACCCAGAGUCCAUGCAUGAAAUGAGCUGCCUACUAAGAAUAAUUAGAGCCCAUGGUGCCCUGUCCCCUGCAGCUGCAUGGCUGAGAGCUGGAGAGGGAUGAGCCCACAGGUGGACUGCCCGUACUGCUCACCUGGAAAACGAUGAGUGGGUGGGAGGCAGUGAACUAGUCAGCAUCCCUUUACUGUAACAAAGAGUGCAGAAGCCAAGUUAGGCUUUAUUUUAGCUCACAGGGCUGGAGGUUUCGGCUCUUGGGACAUUGCCCCAAGUCAUUUUGGGGCGAUGUAGGAAGGCGGUGUGGUGGGAGCACAUGGCAGAGAGAAGCACACAGAGAGUGGCAGGUUGUUGCCAGGGCCCUAAUGACGAGCUCUCGGUCACCCAACACCUGCUAACUAGACGAUCCUGCCUCUUAAUGGCUACACUACCUCUCCAUAGCACCAUGGUUGAAAGACCAUGCCUUUGACAUCUGGGUGUAGGGGAGACAUUUUUCCAAACCAUGGCAAAUGAUGAAAAGACAUCCAUGGUCCUUUAUUCAAUUAAUUGUGUGUGUUUCCGAGAUACAUGCUCCAUAGCAAUGCUCUUUAAACGCAUGCCAAAAACCGGUUUUAGCUGUGCUCCAACAGUGCAUUGAUUUCUCUGUAAGUACACUCAUGGGCUAAUCUACCAAUUCAGUGAUAAAAGGAUCCGGUGGUCCCUUCUUUCCUAAUUCCUUAGUACAGCAUUCCCCAGGGAACAUGAGACAUCCGAGACUAGACUUUAUUUCUCAGAAACCCUUGCAGCUAAUUGUGGACGUAUAAAGCAGCCGGAGGAGGGUGUCAUUGCACAAAGUGUCCCAGUUGGAAGAUGUGCAGCUGUUUUCUUCUGCUGCAGCUGCCCAGAACGUAGAAUACUGCCUGGAUACAAGAGUCACCUGAGAAAGGAAGUGGAAGCCACUUGCUGAUGUCAGAGCAUCAGGGAAGACAGUCAGAUGUCAGAGCAUCAGGGAAGACCAGCUCUGGGCAGCUCACUACCAGGCUCCACGUAAUGACAUAAACUUCUCAUUUAAGUCAUUGUCAUCUUGUAUAGUCUCUUAACCCAGUCUGGUCCUACCUGAUAGACUUGUGUACAUUUAAUACAUAUAAAAGGGAAGACAGCAUGAUAUACAUCUGUAUAUCUAUAUAAAGCAUACGUUAUGCUAGAAAAACUCCAGGAAUUCUAGUCUAUUUUGCACUCCACUGGAUAGUGUCACAAACCUCCGGGAUCUGAGGUUCCACCUUCCCUCGUCCACUUUAGAGAUCUCUUCUCGUCUCCUUGGCCCUCGUUCUGCGAGUCCUGUAAAUCUAGUUACAUUUGGGAAGUUAUUUGUCUCUUCUCCUCUGAAUAUACUUUGCUUUCUGAGGUGAGGACCCCCCCCCCCGCAAGAAUUCUUUGAAUCACCUAGCACAGCCAGGGCAGAAUUCCUUUCAGGUUGAGCUUUGGCUACCUCUCCUGGCCUGUGCCCAUCUCUCAACUCCGCUCUGGUCCAGGAGAGUUGGAGAGGUGGUGAGACACUGAGCCGAGCCCACAGGAGUGGGCAAUCUGUAAUCGUCAGAAGCACAGAUGUGCUGGGAGCCUGUUCCAGCGCUGCUGUAAAGGUACACCCACUCACCAACUUCUCCCUGCAGGCAGGCAUGUGAUGACUGUGCCCUAACUGGUCACAAGACCAUGAAGGAAGAGAGAAGGCCAGGACAAAGCAGAGCUUCCCCAUCUGAAAGCUUUGCCCAGGCUUCUAUAGGAAGGCAGUGUCAGGGUGCCGUGGCCCCCACUCUUCAUUAGAGAUGCGCAGAGUCUGGAACCAAUACCAGAACUCUGAGGCUGAGCGUCCGCACACCCCACCCCCAUUCAGCCUAUGCUCAGGAAAAUGGGGUCUCGUUUCCUCCUCCCCAACCUGGUCCCUUCAACGCCAGGACAAGUCCCUCUCCACCCCCAGGAGGCAUUGUGUCCUGUUGUGUCACAACUUCUAAAUCCCUGACUCAUGCCAGCCUCACAGUUUAGAGAGGAGGUUAUUCAAGGGCUGUGGGUUGCAUGUUCUCCCGCCCCCUGGCCCUGCCACACACACUCAGCUAUUUAAUUAUAGGACCUCUGCAGGGCAGAGGGGAUGGGGAAGGAAGGGGCUGGGAAGGAGAGAAGGUUCCUGAAACUAGAGGACCUUGAGGGACAUUUGGCCAGAUCUCACUGUGAAAGCAAUGUAUGGUGUGACUGUUAGACCCUAGGACCAGCAGGUGGUAGAUGGGGCAGGGCCUGGAGCCUGGCUAAGGAUUCAUGCACAGCUAGGAGGCGAGCGCCUUGCCUCCCCUCAGUUUCAUCUGUUCUCCUACACAUCUAAGUAGCCAGGCUAUCAUGUGAUUCUCCGGUAACUAUAGCAACGAGCUCUGUCUCGUGGAAUGUGUGGUGAGAAAUCUCACAGAAAGAUCCCAGUGCUGGGCUCGGUGCUGUGCCCAAGAGCAGCUCCCCUCCACUCAAUCUGUCCUCUGGGGCUGCAAGGAGCACUGGGUGACAGUGGAGAUGGUGACAAGAUGAUUCUGAGCAGCUCUCUUCUGAGCAGGAGACAUUGAUUUUCCCUAUUCUCCUGAUACUUGCCUCCCCUAUUUUGAACCAAUCCCUGAAGAUGAGAGACAAAAAUAACCCUCUCCCAAGGCGACCAUGCUAAUGCACACUCUGUGCUUUUGGAGAUGGGGCUCUAUAGUGAGACACCCACUCCAGCGUCUCAGACUGACGAGGGAAAGCACUCAGCGGUGCCAGGGGUCAGCAUUCUGUCUCUGCCAGGAGAAGCUGCAGAGAAGUAGGCUGCACAAUGGGAGGCUGUGUUAGCAUCGAGUAGGCUCUCGAACCGGACACAGGCUCCGCAGCUCGCAGGCACAGUCAGAAGGAAAUGGUUGCAAAUGAAGGGCAUGGUUAUAAUACGGUGACACACGCGUCAGAGGAUUCAGCAUGCCGCAGACAAGUGGCUCCCAAUAACUAUUCCUGUGGCAGCCCGAGUGGCACCGGCACCGCCAGCCACAGGGAGACAAGCCCUGCAGGCUGCCCUUUCAGUGGAUGCUGCAGCUGAUUCGGCUGCAUCUGACCUUGACUGAGUCAGUCUCUUCAGGGGUCAAUUUCUCCGUCAUGGGAAGAGAGGCCUCUUGGGCUUUGGCUGCAAUCAUGCUUGAUAACAUGGAAAGGUACAAGGUACUAAUCACACAAGAAAAUACUUCAAAACGGGCAUCAUUGUAAGCCCUUCCUCCUCUUCCUCUUCCUUUCCCUCCUUUCCCUCCUCUUUUUUCCUCCCACUCAUCACUCCUACCUCUUUCUCCUUCUACCCCUCCUCCUCCCCCCUCCCCUCCCUCUUCCUCUCCCUCCUCCCCUCCCUCCUCUUCUGUCCCUUUUCCUUCUGAUUCUUGUUCAUUUCAGAGGUACUUAUUCUUAAGGGACUCAGAAUGCUAGAUGAGUAAGGAGGAGCUGCAACAGUGUGCAGCCACAGAUGUGCUGCAAUAAGGCUUUAGCUAGCCUGGAGUAUGUACAGAGACAUUUUUGUUUUAAUCCCAACAACGCCCCUUUUAGGAUUAUUACAUCCACUUAUUUCAGACAAGACCCAGAGCUGCCUAGUCAAUAACAGAGUCAGGAUCUAGUCCUGGCCUCUCUGCUUCCCAAACCCAGACUCCUAGGGGCAGCUCUGUCUGAAAGACCCUCUGUGCUAUUGGAGUGACCUUGCCAGGUGGAUUCCCAGGAGCUCAUGGAAUGCCAUGCUGCGUUUGUGCAUGUGUCUGCCUGCUUCUUUGUUUGAGGGUACCCGUUGUCCCAUGCUGACAUGACCACCUUUUAGGGUCCCUGUGGAAGACUUCUGGCAGAGAUCAGAAUGUUGCUGUUCCGCAUGGCUUCAACUGUGAGAACAGAGGCACCAUUAGGGAUACACAAAGCUAGAACAGCAGGGUUGCAUGACCCUGCCACGGAGGCAGAGGAGCAGAGGCAGCAGUGCAAAGCCAGUGCCUGGGUUCACCAGCUCACACAGUCUCAUUGGCUGCCAUGCUCGGUUUUGCUUUCUAGAGCCAUGGCGACUCUGGACACCCCCACACCAGAGCGGCUUGCAUGCCUCUGUGUUCUAUCUAGUCCAUCCAGCCAAUGGGCUCCUUGCAGAUGAAAGGGUGGGCAGCUUUCUUCUUGCCCUGGUACUGAUGUUUGCCUGUAAGUCACACCUUUAGAGAGGAGGAUGCCCAGACAGUGCUGGCCUGGGAAUGUCCCAUGUCUGCUAGCAGAGUUCCUUUCCUCACUCGCCCUCCAUAGACAGCCUUCACUGCCCUCUCCUCUGGCUGAUGUACUCCCUGGUACUGUCCUGAGAAUGUCUACAUUACAGUAAAGCACUCAAAGGCAGGGCCACAGAGUUGCAUGCACUUAGCAGGUGAAAACAGGGCUAGUCAGUGCAUUUGUAGAUGGCUUCUCUAGGGCUACAGUUAGGUCAGCAAAUUCUGACUGAGUGACAGGGUGUUGGCUCAGGAUCUCAGCCCCCAUCCGGUCUUUAGCUUAUAAAGGAAGGCAAUGAAUGUUAAAAACCAGGAAAAAAAUAAGCAAAAGCAUGUUUGCAGAUGAAGGGUCAAAUAGCACUUGCGUUAUUAAUUUAUUUUAAUAUACAUAUUAAGUGCCAGUCAUGCGUGCUUAUAGUCUGGUGAGAAUGACACUCUCAAGCAGGGUCUGGGGAAAGCUUCUCCUCCUCAUUAACUUUGUUCAAGAGGAGGAACAGAGGUAAGGAAAAUGACUUCAGGUUGAGCCAUUACAGUGAACUACCCACCAAGAAAGACAUCUCAUCUGCACAUCUUAUCUCAUUUCACAACACAGGGGAAACAAUUGUGUUCUUCUUGCAACAAGGGAGCUGAGACCCAGCAUUGACACAAUUUAUCAAGAUAUGGAGAGGCCUGACUGUCAGAACAACCCAAUCUUUAAUCAAACAACGGCUUGUCCCGGCCUCCCUCCUCGGGCGGAAGCCUGCUCUCCUUCCUGUGACAGAAAGCCACUUCUCUUCCCAAUUGUCACUUUUCUCUUCUCAACCCAUUCGCUGGGCAGUGAGCUAUGGGGGUGACCACAUCUCCUAGACUAAUUUGGUCUGGGUAUGGCCAUGUGACAAAGUUGCUGCCAGGGUGACAAGAAGGAAGCUUCUUGGUUACUCCCUCACCAAAAGUGAGUGCCCUUCCUUCUGAUAGAGAUGGUGAGGGCUGGAGCCUGGGAGAGGCAGUAAAAGCUUCAUGCUGAGGACUGAGCACGUGAGCUUUUAGUCUUGAGGUAGUCGGGUGUGGUGGGGCACGCCUGGAAUCCCAGCUACAAGAGAAACUGAGAUCAGCCUAGGCAACAAAGUGACGAAUAGAUUCUAAAUGUUCAUGGUAGGUUGAAGGGGCUGUGGGAUAGCUCAGCAGGUAAAGGCAUUUGCGAACGACAGUCUUGCCAACUCCAGUUUGACACCUUGGACCUGUGUGAUAGAGGGAGCCAACCUCCACAACUUGACCUUUGACCUCCAUAGGGACACCACGUCAGACACGCACACAGGUACGCACGCACGUGCGCGCGCGCACACACACACACACACACACACACACACACACACACGCACACACACAUAAAUGUUCUUUUAUUUUUCAGACAGACAAAAUGAAAGGCUGGAUGGAAUACAGCUGAACAGACUGUCUCAACACACUUCCUGUUUUGCAUGCCUGUAAUUCCAGCACUUGAGAAAGAGAGGCAGGGGUAUCCGGAAUUCCAGUCUAGCCUCUGCUACAUUAAGACCCUGUUUCUCAAUGCUCCGUGGUUUGAACUCUGUCCCUGUAGCUAAGCGUACACGUCACCACUAAUGAUGACCACAGGCAUUCUGAAAGUAUCUUCCCAGCCAGACUGAGCCUCUCCACCAGUGGCCUCUCCAGAGCCCGGGCAGUUACCUAGGACCUGCCUAGCUCUGCGGUGCUACAGCUGUCUGUACAGAUGUCUUAGCUGUCACUGUAACUUGAAGCAGGACAGGGACCAAACCUUACCCGCGGAGUCUUAUUACCGAGCUGUACACAGUACAUUCAGUAAGUGAGCCGAGUUAAUGGAUGGUUCCUCGUUGUCUGUACAUGCUAAGUUAUAAUAAACCGAGGUGGUUAAGUAACUACUCAAAGGUGGCCAGACAAGAGGGCUGGGGAGGCGGCUUAGACAGGAAGCUCUCACCUGGCUUGAGAGAUAAGAGAUCACCUGGAGGCUAGAGGGUAAGGGUUACUGGUGGGUUACUGGAGCUUUCCUCUGUUUGAAAUACACUUGCAUCAGCAGCCCCCAGGGAAACCUGGUCAGUAUGCAUGCGGCACUGUGGAACCCUGGAGAAGCCAAAACAAACAAACAAACAAACAAACAAAAGCUGGGUAAGAAACUCAACCCAGGAACCACAAAGAUCUGCAGUCAAGAACGUUGGAUGGAAAUUAAACAUUAACUGACAGUUUGUGAUUAUCAGUCCAAAAAUAGGCAAAAGGAAAUAACAGAAGCAUUAUCUUAGUUAAAGAUUACAUUAGAAAAAGAAUUAAGGGUUUUAUUUGACUGGAAGCCCAUCACGAGUCUAGAAUAAGACGCAAGGGUUCAAAGGUCCCAACUCAAUUCUGAGCCGGACAAAUCUAUCCGCAAGCUAUUUCCAGGGUACCUGGUUAGUGCUGGGAGAGGAAGAUCAAAGGCAGCGCCCACAGCUUCCUAAGCUGUACCCAAGGCACAAAGCACAGAGCAUUUGGUGCUGUAAGAGCUAAAUCAUGCUGGGUGGUUGUGACACAUGCCUUUAAUCCUGGCAUGGGGGGUGGGAGUGGGGGAGGCAGAUCUCUGAGGCCAACCUGGUCUACAGAGCGGGUUCCAGGACAGCCAGGACAACACAGAGAAACUCUGUCUUGAAAAUCAAAUCAAAUCAAAUCAAAACAAAACAAAACAAAACAAACAACAACAACAAAAAAAAAAAAAACCAAACAAGCCAAAAGAGGUAAAUCAUAAGGAAGCCUGGCACAGCUCAGACUGGGAGUGGCUGGGUCUGACCUGAGGGUGACUGUGGAGAGGAACAAGGCUGUGUAAGGUAGGUAUGGUGGUUCUGACUCUCUGGAGAGAGAGGCCCAGUGCUGGCCUGACACUGCAGUUCAUGUGAGAGGGAGCAACACAAGUUUCCAGUCAAAAAAAAAAAGCAGAACAGCUGUGUUCUCUGGCCAACAUGGAGUGAGGUGGUCCAGAGACGGGCUCUCUAGAGCUGGAUGGUCUUGUUCAGCAUCGUUUUAAGUGAGAAAUUGAAACUAAUGGAAAAGGAUACAGCUAAACUUCUGAGGGUGGUGGGGUAUAGCAGAACCAGAAUCUAGUGAGGUGCCAAGAGGACCAGAGGUGAACUGAACCAAGAAUGACAGACUCACUGUCACUGUUGCAGUGAGGACAGUGUCCUAGAAAGACUCCACACAAGAACAGCAAGAGAGUCAAGUAGAAGACAGUAAGCAGAAGGGUAACACUGGGCCAACGGGGGAGACUGUAGACGAAAGGGAAGGAGACUGAGAUGAGAGGAUCACUUUUAGUUCAGGGCUAGCCUGUACUACAACAGUGAGUUUGAAGCAAGCCUGGGUUAUACAAUGAGACCCUUUCUCAAAACAACAAUAGGAAAGAAUGAAAGGAAGGAAGGAAGGAAGGAAGGAAGGAAGGAAGGAAGGAAGACGACGAAUUUGGGGUGACUUUAUAUAUUUGGAGGGCUCUGUUGCUACAUUAUCACACUACUUCCUAACUUACUUUAGUGGAAGACCCUACCGAGUGGCAGCCAUUUGAAUCUAUGGGAAGAGAAGGGCCAGAUGACUUGGGGCAGUGAGUAAGUUGAAUACAGAGUUCAGGAGUUGGAGUCACAGAGGCCUGGGUCAUUGCCCAGCUGUUAACAGCUGUGUGGACAAGUUGCCUUACACAGACACACCAAAGAGGGCUGAGCUUCGGAGAUCUCAUGUGAAGUUAAAGUUCCUUGGUUCUGAAAACGUGGGCUCUGUGCAGAGCAGAAAGGGAUGAAGAAGAGAGGGCCAUGUUGUUUGGAGUUGGCCCCUGUACUGUCAGUGAUGGAGUAGCAACAGCCGGCUUGCUUGUCACACCCCACGAUGACAUGUAGUGAUGGAAAGAGCUGACAUACACACAAAAGCACUCUCCUGUGUGGGUAGGAGUGGGAACCAGUCCCCUCAGCUCAUAUCAACUAAUUUUUAAAGAAAGCCAUAUGAGCUAGAGGAUUGAGGAGGAGUGUAGGGCUGAGUCAACUGCAUUUGUUGCACAUCAGAAAUGAGUUUCAAAGUUUCUUAGAGCCUUUAAAGCUUGUACUUUGCUUUCCAGAGAGCUUAUCUAGAACCAUGCUGAAACACAUUUGGAAGACUCAACUGUACUCUCAUUCCAGGGCGUUUUUGAAACAAAGACUAUACAUUUUGCUAUUUUGAAUAUAAAAUGCACCUUCAAGCAAUACUGCAAGCAGGCAACUGGCUAUUCCUUAUAUAUAAAAAAAUGAAACCACACAAACAAAAGCCAGUUACGGUCUCAUGAGAUACUCUCUUUUUCCCUUUUCAAAUGGAGAGUGUUGCUUGUAAACACCCAGAAUUUCCAUCAGAAAGGAAACAAUCAGGUUUCUGAAAGGCAAUAUAUAUAUAUAUGUAUAUAUAUAUAUAUAUAUAUAUACAUACACAUGUGUGUGUAUAUAUGUAUAUAUACUUUAAUCUUAAUCUUUUUAUUAAUAUUUUACGUGUAUGGGUGCUUUGUCUGCAUUCAUGUCUGUGUAUCACAUGCAUGCCUGGUGCCUGUGGAAGCCAGAAGAGGGCAUCAGGUCCACUGGAACUGGAGUUACAGAGAUUGUGAGCCACCAUGUGUGUCCUGGGAGUUGAGCCGGAUCUUCAGGAAGAGCAGAGCCCCUAACUGCUAGGCUAUCUCUCCAGUUCCUUGCACUUUAAUCUUUUUUAAAAAGAUUUUAUUUUAUGAUUCCGGUGUUGCGGAAUCAAAGGGGACAGCCUUGGACUGUAGCAGGAAGAGAACACGCAGCACACUGUUACUGUUUAAUGGUGAUAACCAUUUUUUUAAACUUAGACAAUACUUGGAAAUAUUUCAGUCCAUUCUCUGACACACUUAACCACCCAUCGAUUAUUACCAUCAGUCAGAUGGGGGCGUCAUUACUUCAUUGCGGGGUAGCUGUGAGGCUGAGAAGAGAUGCUAAGUGUGGUGCUUCUUGUCAGUCAACAAGGCAUUGCAGGUACCCGUGUUCUGCUCCUGUGGGUUCAAGGGGCAGCUCCUGGACAGUCUUUAAACCCUGGGAAGGAGCUUGGUCUAAUACACUGCUUUCUGCACAAAAGCUGGGAGUGUGGUUUGGUGUGAAACGACAGUAAGAGAAGAAAUCUGGGGGUUGGGGAUUUAGCUCAGUGGUAGAGCGCUUGUCCAGCAAUCGCAAGGCCCUGGGUUCGGUCCCCAGCUCCGAAAAAAAGAAAAGAGAGAGAGAGAGAGAGAGAGAGAGAGAGAGAGAGAGAGAGAGAGAGAGAGAGAGAGAAAGAGAAAGAAGAAAUCUGCUCUGCGGAUCGCCAUUGCGACGCACACGCUAUUUCUUGGCACAGACCUCCCACUUGAACUAUUUAAAGUUCCACACAGGUGGAAAAGAACCCUGACUUGCGAUCCGCCAUGUGGACGUGGAGAUAUAACCGUUGGCUCCCCCCCCCCCCACCUCACCCCACCCCUUUCUUCUUUCUGGUAACAGAAAGCGACGUUCUGUUUUUAAAAGCAAAAGCGAGGGAAGGGAAUGUAUGUGGGUUUACUAGAAUGCUGGGAGAAGAGGGAGGAGAGGCUGACUCUAGAAGGGUGAGACAAACGCCCAGGAGACAACGGAAAAACGCUCUGGUGACAAAUGCGCGUGCAUCGACAAGAAAACAGCCAGUGUUCGUACAGAAGAGGCACAGCUAGAAAACAGGUUUCUCUUUUAAAAUAGCUUUGCAGCGGCACCCGCUUCCUCCCUUGCCUUUCCGACUAGCUCUUCACCUAGGACCUAUAGGCAGGUCGUGCAAAAUGCUAAUGAGGCCACAGGGAGUGGGCGGGGCAGAAGCCGGUGCUCCGAGCCACCUAGCGGGAGAGCAGCCCACCACUAGCUUGAGGGCUGCGGAAAGCCAGACUUUCUGUGGGUGGAGCCACCUGAGGUCUGAAACUACACUUUUGGUAAGAGAAAGAUGAUUCCCUUCCUGGAUCGCUCACUGCCUUGCCUCGUUUGGAACUCCCUGCAGGAAUAUUGUGGACUGUUUUUAUCCCCUGGUAUCUGUUCUUCCCCCCCUCAAUAGUGUUUUUUCAGAAUACCUCAUAGUGACAUUUUCUAGACUUCCUUUCCGUUGGUGGUGGUGUGGGGGCAGGGGAGGGGCAUGGGUACUUCCUCUCAGGAGGACCCUCCCUUACUGCUCUUUCCUGGCUUGGAUCAAGAUGUAGCUGCUAGGGGCAUCUGGACUCUGCUCAUGAAGGCCACUCCUCAGAGAUUCUGUAGACAUGAACUGGGUUCCCAGUCACUACCAGGGCCCUGGAGUAGGCCUGGGCUGCAGCCUGUUUCUCUAUCAAACUAAGAAGAGUUGGUUAUCAUAUUGUUUCCAAGAUGAAGGUCUUGCUGCAUGUAGCUGAGCUUGUAGUCCAAAAUAUAGACCUAUGGGUCCAAACAGAGCUUCAGAGGUUAACAGCACUGUCUGCUCUUCAGAGAACCUCAGUUUGAUUCUGCUCUUCAGAGAACCUCAGUUUGAUCCCCAGCGCCGACGACUCACAACUGUAAUUCCAGUCUAGGGAAUCUGGUUCCUUUUUCUGGCCUUCUUGGACACCAGACAACACGUCGUACAUGUAGGCAAAACACCCAUUACACAUAACAAAAACCAAAUAGAACUUUUGUAAAUCGUCUUAUGGUAAAUGAUUUGUAUUUGGAGAAUAAGCUUAUCUUUUUCUACAACUAACUGACCUAGAAACAAUGAAAAGGAAUCAAGUUCUAUGCUAGGUUAUCUAAAAAAAAAUAAUAAUUUCAGAAAAAUCAAUGUGGUUAAAUAUGUAUCUAGUUAGGAGAGAUAAAUAAAAAUGUCCCAACAAUUUGCUAUCUCUCCGGCCAGUUAGAAGUUGGUGAACUGGGCCAGCACAGUGUCAGAACACAGAAGCUGUGUGUAUGCACAGAGCAGGGGCCGCAGCUCUCCGUGGUGUGGUUCAGAAUCGAGUGAAUAGUUAAAGCUGGAAGAUCGCGCCCAGGGAGGUGCAGGGAAGCCAGCCAAUGCCGAGAGUGCUGUGCAUUAUUUCGCAGUCUGUGGGAGAGGGAAAGGUCUGGAAGGGAAUCAUGAGGAGUGGCUGGUCCACACCCCAGCAUACAUUCAUCCCUGGCCUCGAGAACAGCACCACUCUGAAAAGAUCCACUGUUAAAAUUCACUCCCAUAAAUACAGAGGGUCACAGCGACAGCUUGAAUGCAUCUCAGAACCAGACAGAGGGGGAGCUCUGCCAGAUGUCAGGGCUAGUGCCUGAUUGGACAGGAACAGGUUAAAAUAGCAUAAACACUGAUCUUUGUUGCAGCCUCGGUAUGUGUCCCAGGCUGAGCUAGAGUUAUGGCCUUGAACUUCUGAUCAUCCUGCUUCUUCUGGAUGCUAGAAUGGACAGGAACACACCACCCUGUCCAACUACAAAUCGCAUGCUUAAAUUACGCAUUUUGUAGUUUUUUUAAAUAAAGAACUCCUCCAGCUGGGUGCCUCACACUCGUUAUUCAGCUGCCUUGCAGACACUAUGCUAUCAUUCCUCAUAAGCUUUGAGAACAUGCGGGUAUCCACUUAUAUCCAAAGAUAUUUUCAGUUCCCUAACAUGCUUUUAGGGCCUGGAGACACAAACGCAUUGUACACAUCUUCUAUGCAGCGUGUUCUUUCAAACGCAUUUGUUCCAGCUUUUGUAAUCUUGAGAACAAGGUCUUUGAUGGAGAAGCAGCAGAAAGGGUUGCUUGUUCACAUGAAAAAAAAAAUGGACGUCGCAUAGGAAUGAGCCUUCAAAAAUGCUACACUCAGAUGAAUGGGUCGCAACUGUGGCCACGCUGACCCACCUGGAAAGCUUCAAGCAGUGGCACCACGCCCGGUCCCCAGCACAGUGACUUCCGUGGUCUGCAGGAAGCUCAGGGAUUUGUAGUUUUAAUAAUUAUUAAAUACUCCAGGUGACUCUAGCACACAGAGCUGGAAAUGCACACACCUUGCCAUUAGGAAAGCUGCUGUGGGGGACAGGGCAGGCACACUGGGGAUCUAACACAGGGCCUUGGCUCUAAUAUGCUUCCAUUGAGCCAUACCCCAGCCCCUAGAAAAAUGUUUUUCUUUUGAAAGCUUACCCCUCCAGAAAUCACGUCUGUGUUUGUCACAUGAAGUAAGCUCAGCCAAGCUUUAGCAAGAUGUUCAGGCUGUAGCCCAUAUACUCACGGAACCUGAGGAAGCAAGAUGCUACCUGACCCAGCUCACUGUUGCGAAAUUGUAUUUCUAAGUAGAAUCCAAUAUAUUUGCAAUGCAGAGUUCUGCAGCCGCCUCUCUCCCAUCCUUUAGUACUCCAAAUCUGAUACAAAAGCGACUCAGAAUCUGUGUUCUUUGCACCCGUGCAGCCUGUCUGGUGCUAGAGUUCACAUCCAUUACAGUGGGGUGUACCCAGCCUCUCUCAUGCCUGGGCUGCUUUCCUCUUGCACUGGUCAUGUGACUGACUAUAGCAGAACCCGCCUUUUUAGGUCCCCAUCCCUCAUACUAAAUUCACUUUUGUUUCUGUCCAUGGAAUCACCUAUAGCUUUUAAAGUGUCCAGUCCAACCUCACUGAAACAGGUUUCUUCAUCAGGAGUCUCCAUGCGCCCUCAGAAUGAGCUCAAGGGCAGCCGGGGGUCCUCCUGCUAGUGCCUGGACAUUGUCCUUGCUUUUCUGACUGUUUCCACGCCACCUGCCCCGGCAGUCUCAAUGUCCUUCUAUAUGAAAUGGGAAACUCUUCCAUCACAUUUUCCUUCCUUUUGAAGUUAAGAACUUUAUCAAAUAUACUUUGAGUAGACAGAACAAUCUAUCAAAGGCCCAAAUGGGGCAGUACCUUGUUCUACAUCUUAUCAAGACCUAUAGCUGCUGGGCAGGCCUGUGGUCCCCACUUUUGAACUGCUCCACUAUGGUAUCAACUUCUGAUUCACCUCCACUGUUCCUCAGACGGGUUGCUGGGGAUGGCUUUCGGACAGUCUCUGCUUCUCUGCAACCCUGCGCACCAGAGCUCUAGCAUGCUAGCAGGAGCCUGGUUUCAGGGUAUACACUUUCUACAUAUACUUCUGUCGGUAACCGUGGAAAUGCUUUCAUUUCACACACUGCUCACUCUUCCUCCCCACUACUCUCCCAUGCAAAUGAGGGAUCCUUCAGCUGCUUCGUGAACUCGGGCUUCUCCAGGCACAGAGAGGCUGUGGCUUGCAAGGCUAUUUGGUUUAGUCUUCCUGGUGAGUUCUGAAUGGCUAACCAGCACAUUCUUUCCAGGCCUUGCACAGUGAACUUUGAUCCUCAUUAACAGUCUAGCCCCUGCCGUUCGCCACUCAGGAGGCAAGCAAGAGUUUGGGAAACCUUUACAGAAUUAAUGACAAUGGCCCCUGACAUUUUGUGCUCACAUCCAGGCUUUCUGCCCAUGGACAGGAAGUCUGACAUGGCGGUCCACAGUGUGGCUGGUUCUCAGACAGCUCUUGCUCCCUGCCCCUGGCUUAAUGCUGCCAAGGCCCUUGCUCUUCUAGUGGUUGCUGGUGUCCUUAGCUGAAGUAGGAAAAACCUCUCCCCUUACAGCAGGGAGCAGCUCUUCCUCUCUGCCUGCCUACAGGAGCUUUUGCUCUGGCUCCAGAGCGGGUCAGAGGCACUCGGGACUAUGCUUGGGCCCUCUCUUGCCCUCAGGAGCCUGUCCUGACCAGGCAGGUUUUGUGCUGCCUUUCUGUUCUCCAGACAACCUUUUCAGUUCUUUCAACGCGGAACUCUUGCAGAGGCCUGUACAUGCUGGUCUGCCUUCCUACACUGCUUCUUUAACCAACUAAGGUAGCUUCUACCCCCGUCUGACAGGAGGCACAGUGAGACCUCUCUCCCCUUAGCCACCCUCUUCAGACCUCCUUGGACCCACAUCCUCUUCCUCUCCUGUCUCAGCUCUAAAUGCUGGGAUUGAUCUUAGGUCUCUUCUCCUCGUACAACCCUUUUCUCUACUUCAGCUAGAGUGACGUUCCGUAUUGACGACUGAGUUUCUGGCUCCCCCAAACUCUCCCUUGGAGUCAAGUACAUGUUGCACGGCGCUGCCACUUGGCUGACUAAUACCCUAUCAGGGUUCCUGUUCGCACCCCCUUCAUGGCCCUGCCUGUUUCUGCAGAGUGCCACUGCCCACACAGUGAUCCGAGACUUUGCUACCUCCUUUUCUCUCUGUUACCCUCAGCAGGUCCAGAGAUCCUAAGGACUGACUUCCCACCAUCUUUUGGUUUGCUCACUGUCACUGGAUAGCUCCUGAUCUAUUCUCACGCCCCAUCCCUUCCAGUUAUCUUCUACGUCACAGGCAGAGCACUGCUUAUCAAAUAAAAGUCAGACCACCUCACUCCCCUGCUGAGGGUGGUUCUAUCAGACACUUAAAGUCCAAACUCUUGGCCACCCUAUCCUGUCCCUUGUUCUUUCUAUCCUGGGUCUGGAGACAAGCAAAGCCUAGGUCAUGCGGAUCCAAGAAAGGGAUCUGGUAAGUCACCCACUUUAAAGCUGACCCCACCUGGCUGACAGCACCUCUGGUCAACACAACAGACUCUGAGCUGCAUGGGGGCCAGAGUUGAGUACCUAGGUGGUCAUUCUGACAGUGGCAGACAAGUGUUUCUGGCCACUCCUAGCCAGCAGCUCAGCACAGCAGGCGCGGUGCUGGCCCCAUCUCGUCCAGCACAGGAGCUCCUUGCCUGAGCACAUUUUCUUUGGGCUCUUAGUGACACGAAGAAAUCAACUGCCAAAACUGUGUUCCCGUCUUAUACCCUUUUCUGCCCAGUCCUCCUUCACAGGUGAGGGUAACACCUUAGCAUGGCUAAGGCUGCCUGGUCUCUUCCUGCUCCUGCCUCCAUCUUUCUUAGGGUUUCCCUUUAUACUUCAGUUUUGCUAUCAGCUUCCCAGGGACAAUAUUAGAAGCUUGACUUAUUUUUCCUGGGCAUAGAACCCAGGGCCUCAAAAGUGCCAGGCAAGCCUACUCGAGGCUUCGGCUCUAGAAGCGUAGAACAGGGCUGGAGAGAUGGCUCAGCAGUUAAGAGGACUGACUGUUCUUCCAGAGGUCCUGAGUUCAAGUCCCUGCAACCAUGUGGUGGCUCACAAGCAAAAAAAAACAACAACAAAAAACAAAAAAAAAAAAAAAAAAAAAAAAAAACUGAGCUUAGAAGCGUAGAACACUGGCAAUGUAAAUCAUGGCCUGUAAAAUAUACAUAAAAUCAUCUGCUUAGUCCUCACACCAUCCACUGGAGGACUGAACACACAUUACAACAAACACUAAAAACAAAGACAAAACCACUUGUGUGCCCCACGGCCUCUGAAUUACCACCUGCACUGCAGAACCAGUCUGUGGAAUGGACAGUCAUUGACCUGCAUAGUAAAUUCUGUAAAACCUUAAAACUACAGGAGAGCCGCACAUUUAUACUUAGGGUCUAGAAAUCACUUAGUAACUUGGUCACCAAUACCUGGCACCACUGGCAGCUUCACUAGCUCUGUGGAAGGACUGUGGUCACAGAAUGCUGUUCCUGUCACCUGAGGAGUGGCACUCAUCCCUGUUCUUCUGAAAUCUGAACAUGUCAGCUCCACACACACCAGAACUGUUGUCACCUGCGUCCCCUGCUGUGGCUCACAGAGGCCACUGAGUACUGUUGCUGAUCCCCUUAUCCUAUAAGAGACGCUCUCACAGGCUCUCAAUUAAGCUUCAAACAAUGCCAAAGGCAGUCUUCACAUACUAGACCUCAGAAAGACCAGGCCCUCUCCAAGAUCACCGGGUACCAUCCAGAAAUUCAGACCUCAGUUACUCAAAGACAUGCCUGCCAGGGUCAGAAAACUUGGUUUCUUAAUUCAAAAUGAUAAAAAAAAAAAUUAUCAUUCCUUCCUUAAGUGUCCAGAACCUAAAACAAGUGUGUCAGCAGUCAGGGCCUAGAAAGAAUGCCUGCAGUGCUGUAAGGGCACUGACUCCCCCACCUUCCUUUAGGAAGAGUCUUCCUCUGCCGGAGACUGGAGGGACACUUUAGAAAGGGCGGUAGGGGAGGGAAGGCAUGCAGUGGGCUUUUCCCCAGGUUUGGUGUCCUGGCAACCUUACACUGGCCGUUUAAAUCCCCAGAUUCUCUCCUGUGCUCAGCGUUGACUGAAGAAGUAUCUGUGUGUGCUUGGGAAUGCUGCAGUGCUGUGCUGCAUGGCUGCUGCUACUGCACACAGGGGCGAACGGCCAACACUCAGGUGGCUUACUGUUGAUGUUUUAGUCAGGGUUUCAAGACAACCUUACAACCCUGGUUAUCCUGGAACUGUCUCUGUAGACCAGGCUGGCCUGGAACUCGGAGAUCCACUUGCCUCUGCUACCAGAGUGCUAGAUUUUUGUUUUUUUCAAAUGACUUGUGUUUAUGUGCAUGAUUGGUGUUGCACCUGCAUGUGUGUCUGUGGGAGGGUAUUAAAUUCCUUGGAAUUGGAGUUACAUACCAUUGGGAACUACAGUAUGGGAUCUGGGACCCAGCUCUUCUGGAAGAAUAGCCAGAGUUCUUAACUGCUAAGCCAUCUCUCCAGCCCCCAAACUCAGUGUUUAACAACUCCCAGGCAGUGUUAAUCAGGAGUCCUUGGCCUCUUCAGUUGUGUCACCAAGUCUUUAAGGACAGAAUGACUGAGGUGACUGCUAUCAGUUGAAAUGGGCCAGGCAGGGGUAUUUCAUGGCCACUAGCAGGGCCAUGAAAGUCAUUCAGCCUUGAACACAGAAUGCUUGGGGCACUGCUUUCAACCUUGGAAGGACAAACAUUUACUACUGAGCUUUUGUCUUUAUUUUAUAUUAGACAAGUUAAUGAAGAACCAGUUGAGAACACUAAUAAGAGACAAGCCUCUAUAUUUAGACCUAGGGCCAACGUCCCCGUGUUGACAUACUAUUUUCUAGUCCAUUUGCUCCCUGGAGUCUGAGGGGACACACAACAAUCUCAAAAGGUACUCUGAUGCUCUCAAGUUAGACUUUCGAUAAUCAAAAACACUAGCAAACCCCGCUUUUAUGUAACCAUGUGAGCCAGUAUCCCUUAUGUAAAUGGAGCAGGAGAGCUGUGACAGGAGGCACAGGGCCUCCCUCACAGGGAGCUUCUGCAGUACCAGUGGGCUGUGGCAUUUCCUUCAAGUGGCAGGGUCUAUUAUUAGAGCUUUCAUAACACAGCUCCGUUAGACAGCUUUCUCCCGAGCUGCAGGCUCUGCUGCUAACAGCUUUUCAGGUACGUUCGCAGAGGCCCAGCACAGCCCAGCAGAAGCCACCGAGAGCCGGACGGCGGCCACGGGUCCUACGUCUUCCUUUCAGAAGCUGUGAGGUUGGGGGAAGAAAUUAGGUGACACUUUGCAUCUGAAAAUCAAAACUUAAGCUGACCAACCCCCAUCUAUUACAAACCACCCAAACUCAAGAAGCAUGGCAACACGGUGGCCCUGGAAGGCUCCGAGCCUUCUCAGCAGUAGGAGCAGCAGUUGUCUAGCUAGGCUAGACAACUUUCAGCGGUCGGAGGAGGCUACAAAUGAGAUGGGGUCUCAAAACUAACCACAACAGAGCGAAACAAAAGAGGACCAGUGCCAACACCUCGGAGGGGGUAUUUCACUAUCUGUCAUGAAACAUUUUAUAUUACUUCCAUAAUUAAAAAUUAUUCUUAAUCACACCAGCCAACAAACAGAUACUAACAAGAAAAAUCUCAAACUACUUAAGAGCCAAACAGGAUUCUCCUCAUAUGAAUUUAAAAUACAAAAACUCAAACAUUUUUAACACUCAUACCUAGCCCACCAAACACCCUGAUCGAGCAUGAAUUUUCCCAGAGAGCUAGGCUUUAGAUGGCUAACACACCCAUCGUAAAAACAUUUACCAUGUGCAGCUUUAGGUAAAUGCUCACAAGGGCUCAGCAGAGAGGCCCUGUCCUCAUUUCACAGGCUGUGAGUGUGGCGCAGGCGAUGUGGAGGUGAGCUUUCUACUCGGGUCAGACUCUCAGCAGCAGGGACAGUUGAGAAACCCUGGCCUAUUUCCUCAGUGAUGCUGCAUAUUUCCCCCAGUCGUUUGACAUCCACGUAUGGGACACGGGCAUCGAUUUAGAUUUGAAUUAUAAUUACAUUUACUUUGUGUGUGGGUCAGAGAGUAACUGGUGGGAUCAGUUCCAUUCUUCCAUCGUGUGGGCCCCCGGGACUUGGUCAUCAGGCUUGGCAGAACAUGCUUCACCACGGAACCAUCUUGCCAGCAGCCCAAACAUUGUAUUUUGGAUCUGUUGGCUGUAAUUGAGCCCUUUCUCUAGAAAGUACCCUGAAUCACUAGGGAGUAAGAUUCUUAGCAGAAAACCCUUAUAUCCACUGAUAAAAUGAUUACUAGCUAACCACACACCAGCACACAGCAGUGCCCUGGGGGACCCAUGCAGCACCUCUCAACAGAUUUUAUAUGCUACAAUUCCCUGGGUUUUGUUUGUUCCUUUUUUUCUUUCAGACAGGGUUUCUUUGUGUAGACUUGGUUAUCCUGGAAUUUGCUCUGUAGAGCAGGCUGGCCUUGAACUAGGAGAUCUACCUGCCUUCGAGAGGAUCGAAGGUCUGUACCACCACACUCAGCAAAUUUCCUGUUCUAAAAAAACAAACAAACAAAAAACAAAACAAAACAAUCCUCCUCCUGCUCAGCCUGUGAGGUAAAAAAGAGAUGGCUUCAAUGCCAAGAAAGCUGGGCCUCAGAGGCUGCAGUCACUUGCCAAUCCAAGCUGGUUUCUGAACCUCUAUCACUUCCCCUUGCAAAAACUUGGCUGGCUAACCCCAGCCAAAAGACAGCUGCUAUGAAAGCAUUGUUUGCACUUUUUACCCAGGAACUUUAUUCCCAGGAGGUUUUCAAGAAGAUAACCACUACUGAUUUCUUAACUGGAAGUAAGCCCUUGACUGGGCUUAGAGGUUGAAAAGGGCGUCGUGGGCCAGGUGUAUCGCCCCUUUCCAUCUACCAGUGAGUGACGCAGGAGUGCUUGUUUUCUUGCUAACCAUUAAAAUCUAGUGCAUUUUAUGUAUGUGGCAGUAUUUUAUAAUCAAUAAUGCAUAAAAUAACAGACUUUAUAGGUAUAAAUCUGUUAUGAAAAUAUAUUAAAAUAUACAAUAAAUUAUAAAUAAAAUGUAAGUAUAUAAAAUAGUGAAGGCUAAAACACUGAAGAACAUAGGCUGAACACAGCAUAAUCAUUCCUAAUUAUGAAUCAUAAUAAUUUCAAGGCAACAUUUUAAAAUGCAAGUUAAGCUCUCGAUGCUUAAAAAAGUGAGCAGGACACAACACAGUACAUUUUAAGCCGUGAGUACUUUCUGUUAAGUGACAGACAGAAAUACAGCUCCUCAGAAGGAGGCCAUGGUCACUAGUUUUUGUUGUGUUCAAUUACUUACUUCUCAAGCUGGAGACUGACAUCUGCCAGCCUUGAUAGUAGCUCGUUUGUGUGAAGCCCAUUGCUUGACCCUGGAGGAAGGCUGGGAGUGCUGACUGCUGGUGUCAAGCAUGGGGACCACUGAUAAGUCCCCCGUCACCUGAGAGCCUUGACUUGACUCCCCCUUUCUCGCUGCUCCUCAGUUACUUACAGCUUUCUACCCAUCCACGAGAACAAGGGCAUUCCAACAUUUUAAUCUUGGCUUGUUUGUUCUUUUGACUACAUAUUGCCUAAAAGAUAUCAUCUGUUUCUAAGAUUUCAUCUUUAUGCAUGUCUAUGCAAAUCUCAGUUCAGUCCUGAUUUUGAGCUCUAGUACCAUAUUCCAAACUACAUGCUAAGUGCUCAAGGAAUGCCGAGGCCAUGUCGCUUUACCAGUAUGCUGUUUCACAGGCACACCAUGCCUUGGCGUUUGACUUUAACACAGCAUGAACCCUUAUCAUGUUUUCCUGUUAGUUUCUAAAGAUUGUGAGUUGCUCGAAAUGCUUUAGAUUGAAAACAGGAAAACCAGGUCAUUUGUCAUAGGACAGAGGGAUGGUCCCCAAAGCAUGCUGUGCACUAAGAUGAUCCACUGGGACAUCAAGUGUACGAGUGUUUAUCUACACAUACGUAUGUUUACCACACAUGUGCCUGGUGCCCCCGGAACUGAAAUGCAACAGCUGUGAUCCCCAUGAGAGUGCUAGGAACCACACCCAGGUUCUUGGCAAGAGCAACAAGUACUUUUAACCGCUGAGCCAUCUCUCCAGCCCUUGGUGAAAAAGUUUUGUUUGCUGAUAGGACUUUUUGACUUCUCUGUUACACUGGCUGACCUGGAUAGGUAAUGGUCUUCAUCUACUACUCAUGAUACUAUAGUGGUACAUGCCAGAUGAUAGGUCUUUCUACACUAGGCUUAAUAUCCAAAAGUCUAUUAAAACGUGGCCCUGAAAGACCUAGUCAGAAUGUACCUACCUUAUGGUGUACACUUCUGCCCCUACAGACCCAACCAUGUCAGUGAAUGGUAGUUAGUUAGAAGCACAAGGCUGCUCAGUUUUCUAAGAAUAAAUGAGUGAGUGCUUGGCCUCAAAUGGGAACAUUUAUACCACCCGUGAGGCUCAGAGAACACCAAGCAAAAGAAAGCAAAAGGAAGUUAACAGUCUGGAAAAGCACUGACAAAUGCUCUCUUUAGGACAGGGGACAGCAUUGUAAAGAUGACCUCAGAGGAGCUGGGAUCUCGUACACUGGACCUGCUUAAGACUGAGACUGUCAACAGCCAAUCCCAAACCAAGGUGGAGUUCCUUGAUGAACUACUGGAUUCUAGGGAAGGGACAGUUAUCUUCAGUUAUGUACCAGACAGUGAGCCCACAGGCUCCUAUGGACAAAGGUAGUCCUGGUUAAAAACAGUGGGUCACAAAACAAAAGCCAUGACUGUAGGAAAGGCGCAUAUAGGGAAUGUGACAGGGAUGGGAGACAGAGAACAGGGGGUGGGUAUGAUAGUAUCCAGAAUGCAUUACAAAUGCCAAGUGCGACACCAUGAUUCUGACGGAAUAUUCUUCCCAUGUAAAGUUAUAAGCACAGGAGGAUGAGGACAAAUAGUCAAAAGGGUCAACAGAAGAACAUAGAAGAAACUGGCUGGGAGUGAGAUUCAUCUGAGAUGGCUUCCAGUGCUGUGGACUGUGCCUUGCAAACGCCAAGUGAGCCUGUUUACUGGCUUCCGAACAAGUACAAAGCCUCACCAUACUGUACCUUCCCAGUCAGCACUAGGGACAGCAGAAACUCUAGGGAAAGUUCAAGGUCAGCCAUUGUGACACUGAAUAAAACCAGGUGCAAGUGCACCCACGGCUCUUGGAUCAGGCCCCAGAACUACGGAAUACAUCUUCCUAAGGCUUCCCUUGUAGGCAGCAUUAUCUACUCAGACUCCUCCUCUAGCACACAAAAUCCUGCCAAGCAAUACUUCCCUGAACACAGCAGAGAUCGAGAAGUGGGCAUCAACUUCACAGGAUAGCCAGCUAUCUACAAGAAGAAUGGUUUGUGUAACCUGUUUCCACAAACUUAAGCUUGCAUUUUUCUUUUAAAAACAGAAAAGUCAUGCUUGAUCUGAGCAUGCCUGCUAAAAGCUAACACAAUGGCUCCCACAGGAAAAGGUGCCAGGACAGAUUGCUGCCAUAUUUUGGGCUCAUGGAAUAAAUUUUCUUAAACCCUAAAUGAAUUUGCAUUUAUUCCACUUAAACAAGUACUUACUGGUUUUACUUCAGUGUUAUUCUGACCUAAAAUCUCCCCCCAUACUUUGUGCAAAUUGACCAUUUAAAAGAGCACUGGCAGUCCCCAGCUCCGAAAAAAAGAACCAAAAAAAAAAAAAAAAAAAAAAAAAAGAGCACUGGACGGAACUGUUCUGGAACACUUAGAAAGUAAACAUAAAAAACAAUGACAAGUAUUUGUUACAGUUGCACACUAACUCAAAACUCAAGGAACCAGAAGUAGGACCACUUCUGUUGCAGAGGGCCCUAAAGAACCUUACACAAAAUGACAGAGAUCAGGUUACUUCUAGUAGUUAUGCAUUCUAGGAGCAAUCCCAUCAGACUGGAUAGGCUAAACAGAGUCUCACUAAAUGGCAGGCAGGCAGGCAGGCAGGCAGGCAAUGCAGAAGAAGUAGUUAGUGGCUCAAAGAAUGCAUGCUAGCUAACCUUGACAGGAGCUCAUAAUGAAGUCGUGGAAGAGCUGGAUGUGCACACUGGGGCUAGACUGAGGAAUGCCUGUCACUGACAAGCCACAUGCUUCAGGAGAGGAGCAGGCUGGAAUUGUGUUCUAGGAAAAUGUCUCCUUACAAAUGAAACACGGUGAGGGAAGAUACAAAAUGUAAACUAAAUAUGAUCAUCAUGGUUUAUAGCCAAGAUACUUAAAGACCAAGACCAAACUGAUGCUACGACCUUUACUACUUUCUUUUUAAAAGUCAAGACAUGAGUUACAUUUGCUUAUUUUUCUGGAUAGCUUCCUGCUGUUAGCACUUUCCUGCACUGACAAUGGUUAAAAUCUCAUAUAAAUUCUGUAAGCUGUAAAGCCCUGAGCAGGAGCAAGCAUGAAGGGCAUGUGGAAACCAGCAGAGGCAUGUUCUCAUCAGGUUCCUCUCCUUAAAAAUGUGUAGUUGUCUGCGUGUGUGCGUGUGCGUGUGUGUCACGUGGCCAUGGUGUCCUUUUGGAUGGAGGCCAGAAUACAACUUUUGGCAGUUUGUUUUUCCCUUCCACUGCAGGUUCCCAGGACCAUACACAGGUCACCAGACUUACACAAGUACGUCUGUCUACCCACUGAGCCACUUCACCGCCCCACCAUUCACUUUCACAAUGCUUUAAAAAACUUGCGGCAAGAAGACCAGAGGCAGGACCACUUAGCCCCAUUCUUGUCACUGGGGGCUUCUUAGCAUACUUCUAGCUUGCUGUCUUGUUUCCUGUAUUGGUAUGUGUCCCCCUCACAUGUAUUUUCUUUAAAGUGCUGAGCUUCAUGGAGAGCUUUAAGGAACAUGCACAUUGCCACCAGAAGAGCCCACAGGCAGGUGAGGAGGAAGCAGUACAAUCCCGAAAACAAACUAGAAAUGGGCAGGUAUGCGUGAACAUGCAUCACACACUAGCUUCAGCAGCAGGAAGCUGCAAAGCACUGAGCCGUAACGGGUACAUGUGCUCACACAUUUCCUUUACUUGAGAUCCGACACAGGUCUCAGCUUCUCCAUCUUCAAAGGUGACUAAAGACUAGACCCCCACCCUUUAAUAAAAAGCAGACCAGAAAAAGGCCAAGGAAUAGGAAACUCAACAUUGCUACUAGUCUACUUUGCUACCUUAGGCUUACUUCCUCCAGAGCAAGAAGGUGCCAAUAAAUAAAAUGUGGGGGUUGGGGAUUUAGCUCAGUGUUAGAGCACUUGCCUAGCAAACGCAAGGCCCUGGGUUCGGUCCCCAGCUCUGAAAAAUAGAAAAAAUAAAAAAUAAAAACAAACAAACAGGUAAAAAAAUAAAUAAAUAAAAUAAAAUGUGUUUACCGACUGAGUAAAAUACAUGUAAAUACUAAGUUCACACUCCAGCCAUGUGGUAGGUUAAGCUUGGCACACACCUGUAAUCUUAAUACUCUGGCUGAGGUGAAAGUGUGCACUGGAGGCCAGCAUGGCUCUACGUACAGCACUUGGCUCUACAAUAAGGUGUCUGAAAAAUGGGGCCCAUGAGAAGUCCUUCUGGCAACUACUGCAGACACAGCCCCCAUUUUAGCAGGUUGUGGAUUACGGCUUUCAUUAUCAUGUUCCCUGGGAGCCUUCAGUUCUCCAGCUUGCUGUGGACAGCACACCAAGCACACAGAAGGUCCAACAGGAAAUGGGUAAUGGAUAAAUUGUACCUGGUAACGAAUAAAGCAGAAUGUUCCAAGUUUCACUAAACACCAAAGGACUACAGCACAUUUAAACAAGUUGUGUGUGAGAGAGAGCUGGCCCUCACAAAGUACUGAAAGGCAACACCGCUGCCCAGAAAACCUGGCCUGCAGUUUUGGUUCUCCCUCACCCUCUCAUAAAACACACUGCACAUCUCAUCAUCUGCUUCCCAGCCGGAGCUGUCAGCUUAAGAAAAACUUAUAACCAGAGAGAGGGGAGAAGCCAUGGCAGGUGAUGUUAAGAUUCUGCUCUGUGUGUUUACAGGUUGUUAUUAAUGUUCUCAAGGGAUGGAAGGUACCGGGCUUUGUAUGUUUAAGUGGGCAAUUAUAUCUUACCAAUUGGGUCAAAAAAAAAAAAAAAAAAAGAAAGAAAAAGAAAAACUUAUAACCAACCACAGCUACACCUAGGCCAAGUCAUGAAGACAACUGGCUUGCUAUGCUAUGAACAGCACAGUUCCAUGACAGACAUGACUACAGAAUAUGUACAUGUGUGUCCAAGUCUCAAACAGACCAUGGCUGAUUUUUUAUAGUUUUAAAAAUUCAGUUUUAUCAUACUCUCCAAAACAUACAUACAUAUAUAUAAAUAUUUUUCAAAUAUAUGACUUUUUAAUCCAGUAUCAUGUACAGACUCAACACAUCUGGAUCUCUCAGUGUAGAUGAAAACAGCAAGGUCUCUGGACACUACCAACAUCACUGUACCAAAGCAAAGCGAAAUACCUUUAUUUAUUUGUUUUUUAAAGAUUUAUUGUAUUUAUAUGAGUAUACUCUAGCUGCCUUCAGACACACCAGAAGAGGGCACUGAAUCCCUAUUACAGAUGGUUGUGAGCCACCAUGUGGUUGCUGGGAAUUGAACUCCGGACCUCUGGAAGAAUAGUCAGUGCUCUUAACCACUCAGCCAUCUCUUCAGCCCAAAAUUCUCAUUCUCUCUCACUCAAUAUAUUCUCUCCAUAUUCUCUCUCAUUCUCUUUCUCAUCCUCCCUCCCUCCCUCCCUCUCUCUUCCAGAACUGAGGACCAAACCUAGGGCUUUAAGCAAGCACUCUACCACUGAGCUAAAUCCCCAACCCCUUGUUUGUUUUUGAGACAGGAUUUCUCUGUGUAGUCUUGGUCGUUCUAGAACUUGCCCUGUAGUCUACUUGCUUCUGCCUCUUGGGUGCUGGCAUUAAAGAGGUAUACACCACCACUGCCUGGAAAAUUCUUAAUCUAUAUUUAUAACUACCUGAAAAAAUAAAGUUAAAUUAUAAACAGGUUAGCUGUAAUAGACAAGGUACAAAACGGUGUAUAAAAUAAUUUCUUUCAAAGAGUAUUUUACCCUAACAGAAUCUUCCUACCUCAGCUACAUUAUAUCCCCACUGUCAAGUAACAUCAUACUAUACACACUGCACAACCUGACUCCACUUUAAGAGCUGCUCUCCACUCUCACCCAUGGGCUCAAAGGCUGCCAUGCAUAAGCCUAAGCUGACUAGCCCACCCACUCUCAGGCUUCUGCUCACCCAGCCACCCCCACCUUGUUUUCACUCUUUGCUCCUGUUUCUCUCUCCACAACCCUAGACAACUCCCCAUCCCACUGGGCAUAACUGACCUCCCUCUCUCCCCACAGAGGCUACCCACAAUACACAAUGCACUUAAUAUCUACCCUAGACUUAUGUAAAUAAAUACAUGUAUUUCUCUAGACGAUACUAUCAUGUGUGAAGUACAGAGGCUUGGGACACUUCUUUACACAAUGUUGCUUUCAUGUUUAAGUUUACAACCAGCAUAAGACUCUCACAGCACCACCCUCAAGUAUAUCAGCAAUUUCAAUUUGGAGCCAGAGAAACAGCUUAGGGCUGGCCUAGCAUGUGUAGGCCCUGGGCUCAGUCUCCCCUCAGCUUGGGGUAUAGCGGGGGCAUUGCUAGGUAUACAAAAACUCAGCCAGAGAACCUGUCCCAUAAACACGUGGACCAGGAGAUUCUUCCUUCCCCCAAAAAAUAUUCAAGUAAAAAUGCUAAAAGAAGAAAAAAAAAUCUUCCCCCCAAAAGAACCAUUGGAGAAAUGCUUAUUCUGGGAAGACAGUAAAUAAGCCUGGCACUUGUUAGUCUUACAAACUGGGAAAUUCUGAAAAGCCAAAACACGGAGUAUCUGACACUGGAGCCAGUCCGAAAGCUGCUACCAGUCAAAGCUGGAAUAAUUUUAACAGGACAAAUAGAGUACAAUCCAGUAGUACUGGGCUGAGAACCCGUAUGGAUUCACAUAGGCAACUGAACAAAUGGGACUAAACAAAGCCUCCAUAGACCUCCAAGUAACAAAGGCUGCUUCUUAGCAGCCAGAACUCAGCGAGAGGAGCGAGAGGCAGAGAGCGAGCACUGCGGUCCAUACAACAGAAGCCAUUAGCAAUCACCAUGCAGAGCGAUGUGCAGGUUGGUGCACACCUGCAAUCCAAGCAGGUAGAGGAGCACGGAUGUCAGAGAGCAUGCCGGGCUAUACGAGACAGCGUCUCGAAACCCACACACAAUUAUGCAACAGCACUGUAAACACAGAUGAUUCUAAAGAGUAACUUUUACAUUAUCAACUCUGAAGAUCACAGCCGUACAGGCACAGACAGCACGUGGCUGAAGUGUAUAGUGGACACUUCAAACCUGGAGCUACUCUACACAGGAGAUGAAGGAAAAAGUGGCUGCAGAAAGAAAACGACUCAGCUCAUCAACAGAACGCUUACGAGGAGUGCUUUACUGACCACUCUGGCAUGUACAGUGACAUCACAUAGGGCAUGACUUGGUUCACUAUCUAUACACACUAAACAAGAACCCCAAGGUAGGAAACUGUACAAGUGAACUCAUUCAGACCUGGUUAUUUAAGUGUGACACUUUAGACUGUGCUUGAUCAAUAUAGAAAGAGUGACACGGCCACUGCAGCAGGCAGUGUGCUACAAGUGUGAAUAAUGAAAAAUAAAGGCUGGGGCUUUGGGUAACCUGUAGUUUUAACUAUUAUUUUAUGCCAUAGCUCAAAUUGCAAUUACUCUGCAAUACCUUUGAAAUAUUUGUAAUAUAAAUCCCAGUCACAGGGUACAUGACUGGUGGCACAGGACUUUAAUCCCAGCACUCAGGGAGUAAAGGAAGAAGGAUUUCUGAGUUCCAGGUCAGCCUAGUCUAUAGACCGAGUUCCAGGACGCCAUGGCUACACAGAGAUAUCCUAUCUCAAAAACAAAACAAAACAAAACAAAAAAAAAAACAAACAAAAAACACAAAAAAACAAAAAACAAAAGCAAAAAACAAAAAAACCCUUACACCACCACCACCACCACCACCACCACCACCACCGACACAUCCCAAGUCUUGCCUCAAGUCUUGAGGUCACCGCAGGGUUAACCAUCCUAGUCUAGCAGCUGGCCUAAGCAGUUUGUCAUUCUCGUCAUUAAGUCAACUCUUUCCUUCCAGUGCAGUACACUGCACACAGCAAGCCUCGAGCAUGACAAACCCUUUGUUUAUUCGUAGGCAGUAUCUCACAGACUCAGUCAGAUACAGGGAAAACGAUGGCCAAAAAAGAACGAAAAGAACUUACUUGCCGUCCUCUGGAUUACCGAACUAUAGUUCAGAGACAAUUCUAAAAUCGGAGAGGGAGGAGGGGGAAGAAGCCAUGCAAAAACCUCUUAAAAGGUUCAAGAAAUUAGACUAGUUUCAUUUUAACAUCUUCUUUAAUAAGACAUUACAGCACAGUGAGGUCCCAAGUGUGUCAGCUAAACAUGGGGGUGAGAAUGGAAACAGGCUUAAUGUGAACCCCAUUCCUUUCCACAACUAACGUAAAUACAGAAUACAAUCAGAUCAGUCCCUUGCUAUUUUAUAUCACCUUUGAAGACACCAACACAGUUUCUAAACAAACUUGUCUGUUAAGAUAAUCUCCAAAUUAAAUUACAGAGAUGUUUGAGCUGUCAUUUUUCUCCUUACAACAGAUUUAACUGAAACACAAAAUAGGACCAUGCUGGCAAUCCCCAUGCUAAGAAUGAAGAUCCAUCAACUAUUCCCUAUCACUGAGAUACAGAAUGAAAUGUGUCUUCAGCUGCUCAUAAAACAGUUAAAUACAAGAUUGAAAAUGUUUUAUUUUGAAUUACAACAGUGAAACGAACAAAAAGAAUUAAACUGAAAAUUGUGAACAGGUUCUAAAUAACCAGUUUGUUACUAAAGGAAACAUACAUCUGUGUAAAGCACUUUUGAAAGCUCUAAAAUUGCCUUUUAACUAGAAUGUCACUAAGAUCCACAAAAAAACAGGUAAAACUAGUCAGCAACAUUUUAGCAGAGGAUAACCAAUUAUGAAAGGCAGGAAAUUAAAUAAGGAACAGACAACUGUACUUAUGUGAGGCUGGGGACAGGGCUGCUGUGGAAAGUACCAGCACUAAGAUUCUCCCUUGAGACACCAUCCUUCAAAUUCAGUGGCACCCUGAGC